rnacentral:lncRNA from 1 species
UCACCCUACUCUAAUAAGGCUUUAAUAUCUGGAGCUCAUAGGUGGGAGAUAAAAUAUACAUACUCACAAGACAUUUAUUGUAUAGUCAAACCAUGGAUCCAAAGAAACAAAUCAAUAAGUCAAAUCAAGAUGUGCAUGUGUGGCGAAUGAAUGGUGUAUGGUGAUGAUGGUGAUAACAAUGGUGAAAGUCUAAUUCUACUUUUGCUCUUUUGAGGGGAUACAUACCUUCCUUGCUUUUUUGAAAUUUUAUGAGGAGAAUGAGAUGCUCUUCUUUUUCUUUUCUCUCAGGUGGGUAUCUUGUACCCCUAAUUCUACUGUUGGACACUUGUCCAUUUUUACCUCUCGUCUCACUCUUUCUUUUCUUUCGAGGUUUCGGGCACUUGCCCCUUUUUAUUUCCUCGUAUCUCUCUCUCUUUUUUUAGAGCACUCAUCUCUUGAGAUAAUAUAGCAAGUGGUAGUAACAAGAUAACUUGAGCAUUUAUUUCACAAGGGAAAAACAGAAAUGUUUUUGGCUAUUCUCUCCUGGAUUAGGAGUAGAAUAUUUUUUGGGUGGUUCUGGAGAUGGAAAUGGGUGGAUAUAUGUGGAUGGUUGUAACAUCCCCGAUGUUGUGGUUACUAAAAAUUUGAAGCAUGACAUCAUCAGCAUUGUACAGCAUAUUUAUUGAGCACACCCUGAUGCAUUAACUUAAAACAAGUUUAAUUUGGUUGAAUGUGCUUAGAGAACUAAAGUGUGUUUAUAUUGUGUUUGGAUGCUUGAGUUGGUUGCUAAAACCCUAGGGUGAAAGAUUUCCGAAAGAGUAGGGGGGAAACCCUGAUUUUUGAACCUUAGAUUUGCCCCCUUUUUCACAAUUUAAAAACCAAGCAAAAUUUGAGGUUGAGUUCAAAAGCAAAGUUGUAGAUCUUGUUAAGAUGUACAACUUUGGUGUUUUGAGUUUUUGAAGUUUCAAUACAAAAUUCAAAGUAAUUUUGAAAAUACAGAUUUCCAGAAAGUGUCCACUUUUCCAAUUUGAACCUCCAAUUCAAAAUCUAUUUGGAAUUUUGAAAAGUGACCAACAUGAAAGUUGUAGAGCUCAAAAAGUUGAACAACUUUCAUGUUGGGAGUUUUUCAAGUUGUUUAGGAAAAUCAAAAGUAAUUUUGGAAAUUCUGAUCUGCCCAAUUCAAAAAUUUCAAUUUCCCCAAAUUGGAUUUUGAACUUCAAACUGUUUGGUCAAAAUCACCAUUUUCCACUCAAAAUUAGCUCUGGUCACCAAAAUAUGAUUUGUAGCUUAUAAAAGUUUGCACAACUUUCAUUUUGGUGGCAAUUUGGCUUUAGUUCAAGUUUUGGCCGAAUUUCACAAAAAGACAGAAAGGGAGGAUAAGGGCCAGCUACAGUGAUCCGAUGAGGAUCACCGGCCCCUGUCCAGCGCGGCCACCGCGCGUGCAGCGCCGCGUACGCGCGUGCAAGCACGCAGCCUGCCUGCCUGCUAGCGUCGCGAGGCAACGUGGACGCUGGACGUCUCCUCCGUUCGCGUUAUAAGCCUCUCUACCGGCCAACAUGCUCCUUUUGUUUCCAUCGCGCCCGACGCCGGUGAGCUUCGUUGCCCUCAAAAUUCACCCUGCCCACUCCCUUUCUGAGCCACCUUAGCACACCAGCAGCUCCGCCCUGAGCUCCGCCAUCGAUUGCGCCCCCGAGUGCAAGCUCUACCCUACCGUAGCUCCAACCCGAGCUGUUCCCCUCUCCAACUCCGGCCGAAGCGCCGCCGCAAGCACCUUACCGCGGCCAGCUCUUCUCCAAGCCUUUCCAUCGUCGCUCUUUGCUCCGUUGAAGUCGCGGUGAGCCCCUGAAGCUUAUGCGUUGGUUGGUUCACGUUCUAACCACUUGUGACGGCCGGUGCUCGCGCGGUUAGUGCCGCCGUCCGCCGUGGACGCGAGCAAGGGAGAUUGAGGGGGGUAACGCGUGGCCCGAGCACCGCAUGAGAUGCGUAGGGGGCUGAGGAUGCUGGCCUGCCCUAUCGCGGAGGCCGGGAGCCCACCGGUAGGGAGCUGGAGCUCGCCGGAGCCGUGGCGGGAGGUAGGGGAAGCAUCUGACGGGCGGGUCCCGCCCGUCAGUGACCUCGCGAGUGGGUGGAGUGCGCGCGCAGCUGGAGCGCAUGGGCCGAGCGCUUGGGCCGCGCGCAUGGGCCGAGCACGCGGGCCGAACACAGCACAGUGUGGUUUCUCCUUUUCCUUUUUGUUUAAAAAUGCUUGGAAUUUGAAAUUAUGUAGAAAAGUGGGUAUUGAUCCAAAAAUCAUGAAACUUUUUGUAUAGAUUCCAUAAAAUGAAUAGAACAUAGGAAAAAUAUUAGGUACCAUUUUCUGGUAGUUUGCAUGUGUAUGAAAAUUGCCUCUUUUAAUUAGUAAAUAAAAUUUCUAUGAAUUUUAAUAAUUUAUUAAUAUGUCCAAAAAUCACCAAAAUUUGUGGGAUGCCUCUGAAUAUUAUUCCCUGGAUCCACACAAAAUUUGGUGGCAUUUGGAUAAUGUUUGAAUAAAAUAUUAUUAAACCCUUAAUUAGUAAUUAAAUAAUAAUUCUAGAAUACUUAAAUAAGAAUUAGUUAAAUCCUCAAAAUUAGGAUUUGAGUGACUUUGGGAUUAUGUGUUGACCUGAGGUCAUUAACCUUAAUGACCUUUGGCAUUUAAGUAUUGUUUGGCCUUAAUGCUUAAUUACUGUUAUUAAUAUUUAAUUAAGAAUUAAUUAAGAUAAAAGGAUUAAUAAUUAGUUAAUUUAAGAUAAUCAUGAAUUGAGAGAAGUCCUAAUUUACAGAUACAACCUCUUGGGUAAAGACACUAAGAUGCUAAACAACUUUAAUUAUUGUUUAGUCUAGGUUGCACCGAGAAGGCAAGUUGUACUCGACUUGGUCCUUCUUGCAUAUUUGUCAUACGCAUAUCAUGAGCAUUCAUUAUUUUGCGUAUAGUGUCCGUGACCGAAGGAGCGACCGUUGAACCGAACCCCGAGGUCGGUGCUCCGUUCGAGGAAGUAGGAUCCGAGACAUGGGAAGUCUCCGAGGGUCCCUCUCUGCCCUGCAACCAAGGCAAGCCCCGGAUGCAUUAGCCCCUCCUUGAAUGUUUUAAAGCUUUUAUCACUUAUGAAAUGAAAUGCUGCAUUAGGUAGUUGAGAAUUGGGUUAACCUACUUGCUGCAUUUACUACCUUGGUAUUUGUUAUCUUGUCCUUGGCACCUGUUUUAUUUUAAAAACUGCGUAGUGAUGCUUAGCCCUGCUACUAGAUAGGUUUUCAAACAAGAAAGUUUGAAGGGUUGUUGUGGAAUACACUUAUGAUCAAUGAUGUUUCAACUUGAGACCGGUCGGUGGACUUGCUUUAAGAAUAGAGUCUUAAAGUAGUGUCUCCAACUGUGUCGAUUAAGGACCGUUCCGUUGAUGGCCUGCUGGGUUUUGAAUUUAUAGUACUAGCCACUUGCCCUCGGUAAGCCCGGUCUUGUGAUCCCUCGACGCGAACAGCUACUCGCGCACUGGGCGUGGAGCAAUGGCGAGAGUAGUGUGUACCCACCUUACGGAUCUGAGAUGGCCGGGAAACAUCUAGAUCGGCUGUAGGAUGGUGGAGUACUAUGCUCUCGGGUGCCGCGAACCUGGUCAAAUUUGGGGAGAACUUGAUUUGGGUUGACAUAUGCAAGAUUUGGUUCUCCAUAUGUCGGGUGGUUAGGAACUCCAGCUGGAUUGCUAAGCGAUUAGAAUCGUCGUUGCUCCCCGAUUGGGAGACUCAAUUCCUUCGACCCUCAUCGUAGAUAAUUAUGCAACUAAGUGAUAAAACGAGAAAGGGAAAAUGUCUCAUGAGGUUCGGAUCCAAAUUUCUGGACUCAGAGUGACAUGAAGCUAUGGCCGUUGGAUGUAUAAUACUUUAAUUUAGGACUAGGAACUCACAGACUUGUCUGUGGGAGGCAACUAGAUAGACUGUCUUUGAACUCCUCAGCCUCUUCAGGAGAGGAAUUCACGGGUAAAACUUGAAAGUAAGGAUGCACUAUUAGUAAGCUUUUUGGCAAAACACUUUGGCUCCUUGCUCAGCCACUCCUUGUCUACCCUAAGCCUGCAUUCCUAAUUUCUCCUCUUUUUCUACCGGGUAAGUCUUGUUGAGUACUCCCGUACUCAGGGUUUCAUAACCCCUGUUGCAGGUGAAGCUCAGGAGCCGACUUGUUUCGGACCCUGUUGUGUGACCGUCGUCGAGGUUGACGACGAAGAAGAGUGAGCGUGACCCAUGGGCAGGGUCUGUAAAUUUGUAAGCUGUGUACUAAAGUUUAAGUUGCUCCGCUGGACCUGGUUUGUAAUAACACUCUGCUAUUUGGAAGAACUCCUUUUGUAAAAUAAGUUAUGUAAUACUUCCGCUGUUUUACUUUGAAAUAUUAUUUUGGUCUUGUGUCGUCUGUGAUACUGCAAUGUCUUCGCAACGAAUGAUCCUGGUGUUAAGGUGGCCACUUGCUAUCAUGUAAGGGCGAGGAGAAGAAAUUUUCGUUAAUUGACCAUCGCUGGUGGUCAGGACGAGCCUGUUUGAUACGCCCCAGGUAGCGGUGGAAUGAGCGUCCUGAGAUGCUUAUUGGACUUCUAAAGUGGAAGGAUCCCCGGCAUCACCGUCAGAGGUCUUUGGGACAAUGACAGGUGUCGGUGGGCCCAAACACUUAGGGGGUUCUGCCACAGCUGGUAUCAGAGCCAUUCGUUGCUAAAAUGACUGUUGUAUCCUUUAGAAAACUUCAAAAUCCUUUGGAUCUAAUGCUAUAAACUAGCCUAUUUUGAGUCCAAGUGCUUUAGUCCUAACUUACCCCUGUCGGUAGGCCUUUUUAUAAUUUUUGAAGUGGGUUGGAGGAGCAAUAUUAAGUAUUGCCCUAGGUUGUAAAAAAAUUUCAAGUAAUACCGUUAUGAAUUGUUGAUAGGAAUCGUAAGUUCGUGCAUGCAUCAUGAUCUAUUACUUGAUUAAAUUCCUUCCUCUUUUGUUUGGGUUGGGUUGUAUAGAAUCAAUCCCCUUCUUGCUAACCCGUAAGGUCUCUCUUACUAAUCCAAACUUACCCUCUACAGGAUGGGCCGCUGGAAACAGACCCCGCGCAAGAGGACAGGUCCAAAAGGGGUCCCCAAACACCAGAUGGCCCCGCGAAGCGAUCAAGCAAGCAGUAGCCGUUCAUCGCCUCAGCAGGAGGUGGAAAGAUUGUCCGCCGAGCUGACUGAAGUGAUGAGAGAAAGGAUGUACAACGUCAUGGAGAUCGGCGAACUUAAAGCUCAGCUAGCCAAAGAAAAACAAGCCACAGAGAACUGUGAGGCCAUGCUGUCCCGUAUGGUGGAGGAGAGGAAUGCCGCUAUUGCCCGAGAAGAAGAGGCCAGGAGUGCACACAGGCACGAGCUAACCAGGAUGAAGGCAAAGCUGGACAAAACCAAGUACUUAAAGAUCUGUAUGUGAAGAUGAUGGCCACGGUCACCGCACAGCGGGAUGUCGAGUGGCAGCGGGAGGACCAGCUCCAGUUGGAGAAGCUUGAGCUGGCACAUCAUUUAGACAACGUCAACGACUUGGCAAUGCAAUAUCGUGAUGUUGCAUUCGACCUAUAUCACCAGCUCCAUCCACCUUCAGGCGAAGGAUAGAUGGAUACGGACGGAGAGUUGGCGGACGAUGGGGAACCCGACCAAGGCCUCAGUGAUGAGGAGGAGUCUGACUCCGGUGAUGACAACCCGGGGGGUAAUCAUGACGAUGGCGAUGACGACCCGGGCUAUAGCUCUGGCCACACCGACUAGUUCGGUGAAACCGCGGGCAACGUCAUUGUAGGAUUCCUAGUUUACCGUGGUGGCUGUCACAGAACCGACCAAAUUAUAAGAGUUCAAGUGCAGAAAUGAUCGUCAAACAAUCAAGUUUCUAAACUUGAGCCCAUAUAAUCCCGGUAGUCAAUCGAAAUCACAAAGGACUUCAAACCAACUCGCAACAAACCAAGAUCGUAAUAGUUCAGCAUAAACACAACGAUUGUUACAUAGUCAUUCAUUGCCGACAAAGCGGCACCACAUCGGAGUCAUUAAGUUAUUACAACCCAAGUUUGAAGUAGCGGAAGCAAAAUAGUUACACACAUCCGUUCAAAGUUCAGUUCACAAGUUUUGUUACUGCCAGAGUCUAGGUCAUCCUUCCAAAAGCAUCAUAGACGAGAAGAGUAGAGAACCGUGCCCAACGGUUAGUCCUCAUCCCCAGUGGGAUGGAGACAGGUCUUGCAGAAACCGUCAUAGAAGAUAUCAUCUGCAACAGGUGGGAGUAAACCCUGAGUACGAGGAUGUACUCAGCUAGACUUACCCGUCUAGUAAAACACAAAAGACGCCAGGGAUUCACAUCGGCCGAUGAACGAACCAAGUUCAUUAGUGAAUGCUACGUUUGCCGCUGCUCUGUCAAGUUCUCACUAACCGGGAGAGACGGCGAUUCGAAUCGAAUUCCUAUCCAGCUGGAGGAUUAUUCCUAGCACUCACCCAGGCAUCCCCUGCCGGAGAGCCAAAGGGUCACCUUUGGUACGACUCAGGAAUCGCGGCUCCGAUCAGCGCCGCACUCCCAGGGCUACCACUCUGCCAGGGAGGUCAGGAAUUUUAACUCACCUGCCUUUGGACUUACGCCAAUGGUCCCCCGCACACCGCACUUCCUCCGGUAGUGCGCACUUUAUACUUGCCGGUCUUCCGGCCUGAGUCAUACUACUCGGCUUCGCGGUCGGAACGAGUUAUCCGGCCAACUAAGUGUCAGGCAUGCGUUCAACAUGACAAGAGGACGUACAACGAUCGGUCCUUAGCUGCCACAGACGGAGUUACUACACACUUGCAAAAUUCCGCCCGGCUUAAGUCAGUUUAACCAGGUUCCAUCCACGAUAGCACAUAUAGACCAUCGUGACCCGACACAACCCUAUAUCGCGCGGAUGACAGAAUAUCACCCGACUUCUACCGAUUAAAGCAUAGCUAAGCUGCUACUCGAACCUAACUCUACAACCAGGGAGGGUGAGUUAUCUGGACAAGGAUAGAGUAGAAUGCAGCAACAGUUUCAUCACAACUCCUAUACGUAAUGCAUCAAUAGAUAUAACGUAUUAAGUAAACUUUUCGGAAAUAAGGGGAGACUUAGAAUGCUCCGGGGCUUGCCUUUCACGAACGAUGCCGGCUCGUGAUUCGGGCACUCAACUUCUUCUUCGGGCUCCUCGAGUCCGGCUUGCUGGACCUCCACUUCCUGGCUGCCCUCCUGACCUUCGGGAUUCGCUUGGAGCUCGAAGGAAACUGCCACGUCCGGUGCACCUAUUGCAUGCUCGAUGAAUGAGAAGGUGCACAUGCUACAGAUGAAUGCUUAAUAACACAAGCAACUCACUGGACACUCAUUUACGGAGCAAGAGUUAUACUAACUCACAUGAAUAAACAAGUUAACAUAACCCAAAACCUAUCAUGACACUAAAGCAGCAAACGACACAAAACAAGUAUGCUCACUAAAUAAAUCAUAAUUAUAGAUAGACAGGUCCAACAAACAUGAGUAAGGACAUUCUGGAAAGCUUACGAAAUUGUCUACAAUUAAUCUUUAAACAUGACAGCAAGAUUCAUACAUGAAACUGGUCAUUUAAACAAAGUUCCAAGUUCUGUCCCAGAAAAACAGAGAACACCUAUUUCUGGAACCCAACUUGGAACAUCUAUAACUUUUAAACUACUUGGCCAAAUGACUUCAAAUUUAAACCACAGCUGGCUCUAUAAGUUUAGAACAACUUUGAUUUAGACAAGUUUCACAGAAAGUCAAGUUAUCAUCAAGCAAAGUUAAAUUGCUCACUUGCUGUCCAGAACAGCAUUUAACCCUAUAGUUAAUUAUUUAAUGACAUGAUCAAAACACAAACCAUGCCAACCAUAUGACUCAUGAGCACAAACAUAUUACAAGGUCACCAGAUCAUCAGUUGAAAACCCCAAAACAAUUACUCAACAAGGCAUUUAUUAAUUAACUUUAGAUAAGGCAUAUUUACAAGAUAUUAGUUAAAGUGCUCAGAAAAAUCUACAAAAAUUACAGAGGCACAAGUAUAACAUCCGAUCACGACCAGAAAAAUUUCAGGACCAAUGCACAUGCCAAAUUAAAGAUAUGCAUUUAACAUGUAUCAAGGCAUUUAUUUCAUAAAUUCAUAAACAUGACUUAUAUAGUGUCAAACAACAGAUUUCAGAUUAUUUACAUCUUAGGAAUACCAUAAACAAGUUUACCACCAAAAUAGAGCACUAGCAUAAACACCAAUUAUUUUAUGUGAUUUAAUUAAAGAAACAAGCCAUAUUUCAAACACAAAUUACAUAUCACAACAACAGUGCUCCAAAAAUCAUGAAAUAAUUAUCAGAGCACUCCAAUGCCAUGCAGAGACCACCAUAAAAUUUUCAAAGCAAACUAAGCAGUAUAACAAGAGAUAUGCCUUUAUCCAUAAAUAACAAGAUUAAAUCCUUAAUAAAUAAUUUCUCAGAAAACAUGAUUCAUUUUAUAUUUUUAUUAAAUACUAGCCAUCUCAAGAAAGACCACAAAAUUUGUUUCACAAUUUUUGGAUCUCAGAAACAGGAGAUAUGAUUUUUGCAAGAAAGCCAAAAAUCAGGAUUUUGAAUAAAAGAAAAGGAGGGAAAGAGAGAGUCGCUGACAGUGGGUCCCAUCUGUCAGGCUCUUCUUCCUCACGGCCGAGGCGAUCUUCGCCGGCGAUUUCUCCGCGACGGCGAGGUCUCCGGCCAAACCCAGGGCAUCAACGUGAUCCCCGAACCCUAACGGCUCGAUUGACCCCACUUUUGCCACGGCGGAGCCACCGGAAGGGGCUCACCGUCGGCAAUGGCGGCUCGGCGGAGGUGCCCGGCGUUACGCCGGAGCCCUCAGGCCGGUAGAGCGCGACCUAAGGCCUUCUACAGCACCAACGGACUACGGCGAAGCUUCCUAGGUACGCGGCUUGGCCUGGAUCCCCGUGGAAAGCACUGGCCACGAGAGCACCCAACUCCGGCGGAAGCACAGCGCUCUGCACUGGCCUAUUUUCAUAAGUAUGACUUACAAGCAUAUUUUGGAAUAGUGACCAACAUGAACAUUGUUCCCAAGAUCAAGUUAAACAUAGAUAAACUAAUUACCAAGACAUUAAGCACAAACACAAGCAUUGUUCACUCAAACAUAAGCAUAGGAAGCCUAUUUAAUCAAUUUAAACCAAUCUUUGCAAAGAAUGACAUGUCUCAAGAUAGAUGAUGAUCAUGGAUGCUUUGAAAAAUGAUGAUGCUCAUGCCAUGCACAUGCUUGAUGCAACCAUAACACUGGGGUGUUACAACCCUCCCCCCUUACAAAAAUCUCGUCCCGAGAUUUGAAAGCUUACUGAUUUUCGAAGAAGGUUUUGUAAACUUCUUUCAAAUAAUCCUCCGUCUCCCAAGUGGCAUCUUCUUCCCCGUGGUUACUCCACAACACUUUGUAGAGCUUAACCACACGAUUACGCGUUUCCCGUUCCUUGCGAUCAAGAAUCGCCAUGGGUUUCUCCUCAUACACCAAGUCUGACUUCAACUUGAUGUCUCGAAUUUCCACUCGUUCCUCCGGUACACGAAGGCACUUCUUCAAUUGCGAUACGUGAAAGACAGGAAAAAUGGCCCGAAGCGCAACUGGGAGUUGAACUUUGUAUGCCACAUUCCCUUUCUUUUCGAGAAUCCGAUAAGGUCCCACAUAGCGAGGUGCAAGCUUUCGCUUGACUCCGAACCUUUGUACACCCUUCAUCGGAGACACCUUGAUGUACACAUGGUCACCAACUGAAUACUCAAUCGGCUUCCUUCUCUUGUCAGCAUAACUUUUCUGACGAGCUUGAGCAGCUUCCAGGUGUUGCUGGAUAACACGGACUUUCUGCUCCGCUUCGUUCAUGAAAUCGAUGCCGUAGUAUCUUCGCUCUCCAGCUUCUACCCAAUUCAACGGGGUUCGACACUUUCGACUGUACAAGGCUUCAAAUGGAGCCAUCUUGAUACUCUCCUGAUAACUGUUGUUGUAGGAGAACUCAGCUAAUGGCAACCACUUAACCCAAGAACUUUUUGAUGAGAGAGCACAUGCCCUCAACAUAUCUUCAAGGAUCUGGUUAACUCGUUCAGUUUGACCUGCUGUUUGGGGGUGAUAAGCAGAGCUGCGGACCAAGUGAGUACCAAUCUGCUCAUGAAGACAUUCCCAAAAACGAGCAGUGAACUGUGGUCCACGAUCAGAUAUGAUUGUUCGAGGCACACCAUACUGGCGAACAAUGUGCUCGAAAUACAACUCUGCAUACUGAUGGGGACGAUAAUCAGUUCGGACUGGAAUAAAUCGAGCAACCUUGGUCAAACGAUCUACAACCACCCAGAUAGAGUCAUAACCCUUAACAGAAGUUGGGAGUCCACUGAUGAAAUCCAUGCUGACUUCUUCCCAUUUCCAACCAGGAAUUGGCAAGGGUUGAAGCAAACCAGCUUUCAUGUGAACAGCCUUCACGCGACAACAAUUGUCACAACGAGCGACAAAAGCAGCUAUCUCCUUUUUCAUCUUUGUCCACCAAAACAAAGGUUUCAGAUCCUGAUACAUCUUGCUACUACCAGGAUGGAUAGACAUUUUGGAUGAAUGAGCUUCAGAUAGGAUCUGAUUUCGCAGCUCGCGGUCUUUUGGGACCACAAGUCGAUCCUUGAACCAAAGGAUUCCGUUUUCAUCAACCCGGAAAUGCUUGGUUUCUUCUUCCUUCAUCUUCCUCUUGAUAUGGUGGAUGCCUACAUCUGUCCGCUGCAGUUCGAUGACUCGAUUGCGAAUGGUACUUUCCAGAGAAAUCUGGUUGAGCACAAGCGGAUGCAUAAGAUGUGACAACAACGGAUCUUCCACUUGUAUUGAGUGACAGUGCGCUUUCCGACUCAAGGCAUCCGCCACCACGUUUGCCUUGCCCGGAUGAUAGUGCACUUGGAGAUUAUAGUCUUUAAUCAACUCAAGCCACCUUCGCUGCCGCAUGUUCAGUUCAGGUUGAGUGAAGAUAUACUUGAGGCUCUUAUGAUCGGUGUAGAUAUUACACAGAUUACCCAGCAGAUAAUGCCUCCAGAUUUUCAAAGCAUGAACAACUGCUGCCAAUUCUAAGUCAUGAGUGGGGUAAUUGACCUCAUGCUUUCGAAGUUGGCGCGAGGCAUACGCGAUAACGCGACCUUCCUGCAUCAACACACAGCCUAAACCAAUGCCUGAUGCGUCACAAAAGACAUCGAAAGGCUUCUCGAUAUCAGGUUGAGCUAGGACAGGAGCUGAUGUCAACAGUGUCCUCAACUUGUGGAAUGCCUCUUCACACUCACGUGUCCACACAAACUUUUCAUCUUUCUGAAGUAGACGAGUCAUAGGCUUGGAUAUUUUGGAGAACUCCGGAAUAAAUCGACGGUAAUACCCAGCCAGACCGAGAAAACUCCGAACCUCGUGUACCGAAGUUGGAACUUUCCAAUCCAGCACCUCUUGCACCUUAGCCGGAUCCACCGAUAUGCCUUCUUCAGAUAAGACAUGGCCCAAGAAAGGUACUUUCUUUAGCCAAAACUCGCAUUUGCUAAACUUAGCAUAAAGCUGAUGUUCGCGCAAACGCGACAACACUACACGCAGAUGCUCUGCAUGCUCCUCUUCAUUGCAAGAAUAUACCAAGAUAUCAUCAAUGAAGACCACUACAAACUUGUCCAAUUCGGGCAUGAACACCAAAUUCAUAAGAUACAUGUGUUGAUGCAAAACUGGUCUGCAAACACAAAGGGCUAAUACCCGAUUCAAACGUUAAGGCGUGCCAGCCGAUUUGACCUUGCUAUCGGCAAAGGUGAUAACUCGAAUACUUUAGUCCUGACAACAGCGAUGCGCCCGGAUGUCACGGCUAAGAGGUACUCACGCGGAACUUGAGAACACGCCGAGCUUAAGUCGACGAAUUCCUAAGAACUCGUAACAAAAGGAAAAAGUAUGACGAAGUCGUCGAAAAGUAAAUGCUGGAAUAUGAGUAAAAAUGUGUGUUUGAUUUCUUGAUUUUAUUAUUACAAGGCCCUAGGGUCUAUAUUUAUACCCUGCUCAAAGAGCUACAACCAGACACGAUUAGAAUUCGAAUUCCAAAUUACACGGAAUCCGUAUACAAAACGAUGCAAAUAAUUAAGGAAAUAACAAAACUAUCCCUCGUGACAAACCGAAACUCCUCCACAUAACGACCGGCAGCUUCCAGAUUCCUCCUUUGCAUCAUCGGCAGAUCCUUUGCCAUAGCAUCGGCAGACUUUCUUAUCUAGCCAUCGGCACCAUAUUACUGCCUGUCACAUUCAACUUCUCCCUCAUCGGCAACCAUCCUCAUCGGCAACCCGCUUUGUCAACAUCAUACUGCCACCUUAUCCUGCCUUCCUAGACACGUGCCCAAAAACGGUGUCAACACAUGCCCCCCAGUUUCGGAGUAUAAAACUAUUAAUGCUCCGAAAUUCUCUGCAGUAAUGAUGCCUUCUCCCGCAAUUAAUGCUCCUAAUCUGGUAACCGACAACCUCAAUCUGGACAACUCUGAUCCUAAUCCUCCGCAGAUUCCUCGAAAUCCCCAACUUCCUAAACGGGCAUUUUUCUCAGUCGUACAUCGGCAACAAUACCGUUACAAAGAUCUGCCGAUGUUCUGACCAGGAUAUUCGCAAAAACGGUUACUUCCCCUCUAUCCGCCCAUCGGCAAUAUGACCGUUAUAGAAUAUCGCCGAUGGACCGACUAGGAGAUCUCGCACAGUAAAAUAUCUUCAGAUAAUGACCGCUUCCCGUCAAAUCACCUGCACAAUCCCUGGAUUACCGUGCGAACAGUUACCAUAUCCACCUGAGUACCCUCGGAUUUCUCGGAUGCGGCAAAGAGAUAAGUCGGAUUUUCCCUUGCCCAUCUUGUCCUAUAAAUAGUUCCUUCUUGGGUACUCCUUCCCCAUCACACUAUUCUACUAUCCAACUUUACUUUUCCAGCGGCGGCGCCACCAAAAACUCCUAAGGUCUUCGACAAGUACCCCUCUUCAUCAACUCCGGCGCCUUCACACGCUUCCUUCGCAGCAAGAUGGCCGUCGGGUUCGUCGUCCCUGAGGUCAAAUCUCCACCCCGUCUUUUGUAUUUUUCUUCAUAUCCCUGUUCACUCGCAAUUCAUUUUACUGAACAUCUUCCUUUUCUUUCCUCUUUGUAUUUCUUUUUACGCCCAAAAUCACUAGGAAUUGUCCAACAAAAUUGUCAUCCCCACCGAUCAACCACACUGUUGACACCGUUUUUGGGCACGUGUCCAGGAUGGCAGGAUAGGGUGGCAGUACAAUGCGGGUUGCUGAUGAGGAUGGUUGCCGAUGAGGGAGAGGUUGAAUGUGACUAAGUCCACAGGCAGUAAUAUGGUGCCGAUGGCUGGAUAAAAAGGUCUGCCGAUGACUAUGGCAAGGGGAUUGCCGAUGACGCGAAGGAGGAGUCCGGAAGCUGCCAGUUGUCAUCUGGAGGAGUUUCGGUUUGUUACGAAGGAUAGUUUUAUUAUUUCCUUAGUUAUUUGCGUCGUUUUGUAUACGGAUUCCGUGUAAUUUGGAAUUCGAAUUCUAAUCGUGUCUGGUCGUAGCUCUUUGAGCCGGGUAUAAAUAUAAACCCUAGGACCUUGUAAUCAAGAAUCAAGAAAUCAAUCAAACACACGUUUUUACUCAUAUUCCAGCAUCUACUUUUCGACGACUUCGUCAUACUUUUUCCUUUUAUUACGAGUUCUUAGGAAUUCGUCGACUUAAGCUCGGCGUGUUCACGAGUUCCGUGUGAGUACCUCUUAGCCGUGACAUCCGGGCGCAUCGCUGUUGUCAGGACUAAAGUAUUCGAGUUAUCACCUUUGCCGAUAGCAAGGUCAAAUCGGCUGGCACACCUUAACGUUUGAAUCGGGUAUUAGCCCUUUGUGUUUGCAGAUCAGUUUUGCAUCAACACAUCUUUUGGCACGCCCGGUGGGACAGAUUCAAGAUCAAGAUCAACAUGUCGAUCUCUGACCUCGAUCAAGAGAACGUCAUCCCCGUGACGGAGGCCAACCUCAAGGAUGAGCAAAAGCAAGCUAUUGCCCAAGCCAUGGAAGAGUUCAAGCAGCAAUGCCUAAAGUCUUUCAGCAUGAACAGGAGCGGCGAAGCGGUCCAGAAAGAUGCACUGCCGGCACCACGGCAGGUCACCUUCGACGCCAAUCCUGGCAAGCUUCAAGAUAUGGUUGACAAUGCCAUCAAUCGAGCGUUGAUUAACCAAGCUGGUGUACUGUCUAAUACGGUUUUCAACACCGUGGCAAGAACUUUCAAGGAAGGACAAAUCCCGCCAGAUUAUGUGGGGCCCUCCCAUCAUCAGCCAACGGCACCAGAGGUCACGGCUCCAUCGGCUGCCUUGCCGAAUGCAAGUGCACAGUCUGCCGUCCCUCCAAGUACAUUGGGGACUACUGGCGCACUAUCUAUGCCGAUGGCAGCCAACCCACAAAUUUCAGUUGGGCAGCAUAAACUGACAACAGAUAUGUUGGCAUCGGCAAUGUCAGGGUUAAAUCUUCCUCCCAAUUGGUGGGGUUAUGGUAUGCCUCCAGAGUUGACACCGGGAACAUCACAAAUAACUGACAUGAGGGGCAAAACUCCUAUGACAUCGGCACCUCCCAAUGCGCCGGUGAACCAGAGUCCUCGGUAUACCACAACUACUACCGCGCGGCCUUACACUGGGAAUCCUCAAGAUUCAAUGUUCCAGAUGCCCAACGCAUCGGCAGAGUCAAUGCUGAUGCAACAGAGGCCUAUGGCCCAGUCGGGGUAUGUCAAUUCAACGACGGUACCCAAUUACCAAUCAUCGGCAGUACCUAUGCCGAUGAACGCUAAUAAUGGAUGGCUUGGACAGCAAGCCUUUCCACAAUCGCCCCAGCAGGGUUAUCAGACUACGGGGUUCCAGCAAGGGCAGGUUUAUCCCGGGUUCCAAGGUCAGGGAAUUCCCAACCAGCCAAUAAAUUUUGGACAGCAACUCGGAGGACAGCCAAUCGGUGGACAGCAGUUUGGUUGUCCGCAGAUUGGAGGACAGGUGACCAAUACGAUGUUCCAUACAGGUCACGUCCCAAACAGACACGUGGAGGUUCGCCACCAAGUGCCAGAUCCGCAGCCGCCUCAUCGGCAAGAUGCCGAUGCGUAUUGGGCCGAUAAGAUUGCUGAAGUAAUGAGGGAACAAUUUGGGAUAAAACCCAAAGUUAACACUUAUUCUUAUUGGACACCGUAUCCUUCAGCGUAUGAUUUGAUCCCGCUUCCACAUCGGUACAAGGUACCGGAUUUUACGAAGUUUUCCGGACAGGACGACACGUCAACCAUGGAGCAUGUCAACAGGUUCAUUAUUCAAUGUGGAGAGGCUGGUAACAGGGACGAAUUGAGGGUUCGUCUAUUUUCAUCAUCAUUGUCUGGAUCGGCCUUUACUUGGUUCAUAUCAUUACCUCCCAAUUCAGUAAUUACUUGGGCCGAUCUAGAGAAGCAAUUCCACAGAUACUUCUUCCCGGGGGUUCAUGAGAAGAAGAUCACCGACUUGGUCAAGUUGAGGCAACGCAAUGAUGAGUCGGUUGAGGGAUUUGUGCAGAGGAUACGAGAGGUCAAGAAUAAAUGCUAUAGCCUGGUUCUGGAUGAUCGGCAGCUAGCCGAUUUGGCUUUCCAGGGUUUGUUGCCACAUAUCAGGGAUAAGUAUGCCUCUCAGGAGUUCGAAAGUUUAAGUCACUUGGUGCAGAGGAUAUCUGAUCAAGACAUCAAGCCUUUCGAGCCUAAGAGGGCAUGGAAUAAGAAAGUCUCAUUUGUUGAUGAAGCAACAAGCUCAGAUUCCGAUGAAGAACCAGUAAUCGGUUUGGCAGAGUGGGUAAAAAACAAGAAGCCGAUGUCUUGUCCUUUUGGGCAGAAGGAACCAGAGAAGUUCGCCUUUGAUACCGCCAAGGCCGAUAGGAUAUUUGACUUUCUACUUCAGGAAGGUCAGAUCAAACUGUCACCUAACCAUGUGAUUCCAUCGGCAGAAGAGUUGAAGAGGAUGAGAUAUUGCAAGUGGCAUAAUGCAACUUCCCAUGACACCAACGAGUGCAAAGUAUUCAGACAGCAGCUGCAAUCGGCUAUUGAGUCAGGGAGAAUCAGAUUUGACAGUUCCAAAGCCCAGAAGCCGAUGAAGAUAGACCAACAUCCUUUCCCGACAAACAUGUUGGAUGCUAAGGGGAAGGCUAAAGUCUUAACAUCGGAGACAGCUGAGAAGAGUGCAUCGGUAGAUCCUCAGCAUCAAGUUACUACCGCCGAUGCAAGAAGUAAGGGCUUGGUCCAGGAAGGAGCUAGCUCAGGAAGACUUCCUUGAUCUGGUAUCGUCAUAACUCAUAGAAGGCCUCGAGAGAGAUGGCAACAACGGGAAGAUCGGUAUCGGCGCCAGCAGGAAUAUUAUCAACGGGAAGAAGAAAGACGCCGACAGGAGUGGAAUCGGCACAGGGAUCAUUGGAAUUGCCCAUUCUUCAUCCAUUGUUGGGAGGAAAAUAUCAAGCUUCCUACUGUCAGAGACUGCCCUGAAUGCAACGGUUAUGAUCGGUACGAUAGGAACGAUCGGCGUUAUCAUGAUGAUGAACGGCGAUUUAAUGGGCCAAUCAGAGGAAGGGCGUCAGUUCAUGAUCGGCUGGGGGGCAGGCUUAGCGUUCGCGAUCGGCUCGGUGACCGUGUCCAGUAUUUUCCCAGGAACCAGGAAGAGCUCGAGGAGAUGGCUAAUGCGCGGGUUCCCGAUGAGUUCAUAUUUUGCAGAGAUGCUAACACACAUCGUAUGGAGUCAAGGGAGAACCGACGCCCGAUGGCAAGACAAAGGCCACUUCCUCCAUGGUGCCCUCAAGGAUUAACCAAGACACAGAAAAGGAGAUUGCAACGAGAAUGGCAAGAGGAGCUAAACAAGGGAGAGAACUCUGGAAGUCGGCAGCCGUCAGACACUAAGAGGGAAGGUCCAUCGGCAGGCGUCAACAUGGUCUUCAUGUUGCCGAUGGAGUUUCUUGCACCAGCCAGUGACGAUGACCUGGAAUUUUCUGAUCAGAUAGCUCAGUUGGCUCUGGAUCUGAUGACGGCUGUCUUUGAGAAACCUGCCGAUGACGAGAGGCAGCAUCUUAAAGCUUUGUUCCUCAAAGGAAGGGUUGAUGGGCAGCCAAUGACUAAGAUCCUAGUUGAUGGUGGAGCUGCUAUUAAUAUUAUGCCGUAUGCAGUAUAUCGGAAGCUUGGGAAAGGGGAUCAAGAUUUGACCAAGACCGAUAUGAUGCUCAAAGACUUUGAGGGAAACGUGUCUCCAGUCAAGGGGGCGAUAUCUGCAGAGUUGACCAUCGGCAGCAAAACCUUGCCGACAACUUUUUUCGUGAUCAGCGGAAAAGGUGCCUACAAUUUAUUAUUGCGGAGAGAUUGGAUUCAUGCCAAUUGUUGUGUCCCAUCUACAAUGCAUCAGUGCUUGGUUCAGUGGGUAGGUGACAAGAUUGAGAUCGUCCCAGGGGAUUCUUCUUAUGUUAUCGCAUCGGCAGAAGCGGAUACUUAUGAAAAGACUAGGUGCAUUUCAGGAGAAGUUUGGGAGAAAGAUUUUCUCAAAGUUGCCGAUUAUGAGAUUCCACCGAUCCAAGCAGUCGGUUCUGACGACGGUUUUUAAUGGAUAGAUUCGCCGAUGAUGGAAAAUUAGGCCAGGGGUUCACAUCGGCCGAUGAUUUGGUAGAAAUAGAUAUAGGUAGUGGUGAUAAGCCUAGGCCUACUUUUAUUAGUGCUAAAUUAGAUCCUGAGUGUAAGCAACAAUUGACUAGUUUGUUAAAGGAAUAUAAAGAUUGCUUUGCUUGGGAUUAUACAGAGAUGCCUGGUCUAGACCGAUCAAUUGUCGAACAUCGGUUACCCAUCAAGUCUGGAUUUCGGCCACAUCAGCAACCAGCCCGCCGAUGUAAUCCUAACAUUCUACCUGAUAUUAAGGCCGAAAUCACUAAACUUAUUGAAGCUAAGUUUAUUCGGCAGUGUCGGUAUGCCGAAUGGAUUUCCAAUGUUGUUCCGGUUUACAAGAAGAACGGGAAGCUUCGGGUGUGCAUUGAUUUCAGGAAUCUCAAUAAAGCUACGCCGAUGGAUGGAUACCCAAUGCCUGUCGCCGAUCUACUGGUUGAUGCUGCGGCUGGCCAUCGGGUCAUCAGCUUCAUGGAUGGUAAUGCAGGUUACAAUCAAAUAUUCAUGGCAGAGGAGGAUAUUCCAAAAACCGCAUUCAGGUGUCCUGGUCAUGUUGGACUAUUUGAAUGGAUAGUCAUGACUUUUGGGUUAAAGAAUGCUGGUGCUACUUAUCAAAGGGCUAUGAAUUUUAUAUUUCAUGAGUUCAUCGGCAAGAUCGUAGAAAUUUAUAUUGAUGAUGUGGUGGUUAAGUCUGGAGAUUUCUCAAAGCAUCUUGCCGAUUUACGAAAAGUGUUGGAGUGCACCAGGAAGCAUGGAUUGAAGAUGAACCCCAACAAGUGUGCAUUUGGCGUAUCGGCAGGGCAGUUUCUUGGUUUUAUGGUACAUCAGAGGGGUAUUGAAAUUAGUCGAAGAUCUAUUGAUGCCAUCAAUAAAAUAGUGGCCCCUACCAAUAAAACCGAGCUCCAAUCCUUGAUCGGCAAGGUGAAUUUUAUCAGAAGAUUUAUAUCGAAUUUAUCUGGGAGAAUUCGUGCUUUCAGUCCUCUUCUUAAAUUGAAAGCCGAUCAGGAGUUUGUUUGGGGAGAAGAACAGCAGUUGGCUCUGGAUGAAAUCAAAAAGUAUCUAGUAAAUCCUCCAGUUUUAGUUCCACCUCAACAAGGGAAACCCUUCAAAUUAUAUUUAUCUACCGAUGGAUCGGUUAUCGGUUCAGCUUUGGUUCAAGAAUUUGAAGGGAAAGAGAGAGUAAUUUAUUAUUUGAGUAGGAGGUUGAUUGAUGCUGAAACCAGGUAUUCGGCCAUUGAGAAACUGUGCUUAUGCUUAUAUUUUUCAUGUAUCAAGCUGAGACAUUACCUGUUGUCGGCUGAAUGUGCUGUUGUUUGCAAAGUUGACGUGGUCCGAUACAUGCUAUCUAUGCCGAUUAUGAGUGGUAGGAUCGGUAAAUGGAUUUUAGCACUGUCGGAGUUCGAUUUGCGUUACGAAUCGGCUAAGGCAGUCAAAGGGCAGAUCAUGGCCGAUUUUGUGACUCAGCAUUGCGGUCUAGUGGAAACCUUGGAAAUUGCACCCUGGACGCUCUUCUUUGAUGGAUCUACCUGUGACCGGGGGGCGGGAAUCGGCAUUGUAUUGGUUUCUCCUAAGGGGAGGAAGUAUGAGUUUUCCUUGCCGAUUGUUGCUACAUCAACAAAUAAUCAGGCUGAGUAUCAAGCUCUGAUCAAGGGAUUGGAGUUGUUAAGAGAAGUACGCAAAUGUUAAAGGAAUUCAAGAACUUCCGAUUGGAGCAUGUUCCCCGAUUGCAUAAUGAAGACGCGAAUCGGUUAGCCCAGCAUGCCUCAGGAUAUCAGCCAAUGAUUAAUGCGACAUCGGCAGUCAGUGCCGGUGAUUGGAGGAAAGAAAUUAUCGACUAUCUAGAAGAUCCAUCCAAAAAAGUUGAAAGACGGGUUCGAUUUCAAGCGACCAAGUAUGUGCUCCUUGAAAAUGAAUUGUAUUAUCGAACUAUCGACGGAAUUCUUCUCCGAUGCUUGGGUGAUGAUGAAGCCAGAAGUUUGAUGGGGGAAAUCCAUGAAGGAGUGUGUGGAGCGCAUCAGUCCGCUUUUAAGAUGAAGUGGAUGAUUCGAAGGAACGGAUAUUUUUGGCCAACCAUACUUGAAGAUUGUUUUAAAUAUUUCAAGGGAUGUCAAGGUUGUCAAAAGUUCGGUAAUAUCCAGAGAGCACCCGCAUCGGCUAUGAAUCCUAUAAUAAAACCUUGGCCGUUCCGGGGGUGGGCCAUCGAUCUGAUCGGCCAGAUUUAUCCAUCAUCUAGCAAAGGGCAUAAGUUCAUUCUAGUUGCCACUGACUAUUUCACUAAGUGGGUCGAAGCUAUUCCUUUGAAGAAAGUCACAUCGGCCAAUAUGAUUGAUUUUGUGAAGGAGCAUAUUAUUUACCGAUUUGGGAUUCCCCAAACGAUUACUACCGAUCAGGGCACCAUGUUCACGUCGGGGGAGUUCGAUGAAUUCGCAAUCGGUAUGGGAAUUAAAGUGUUGAAUUCUUCUCCUUACUAUGCUCAAGCCAAUGGGCAGGCCGAAGCGUCUAACAAAGGAAUUAUCAAGCUUAUUAAACGAAAGAUUGAAGAAAAUCCUAGGCGGUGGCAUACAUUGUUAAAUGAAGCACUGUGGUCUUAUCGGAUGGCUUGUCAUGGAUCAACCAAGGUGUCACCCUAUCAAUUGGUGUAUGGACAUGAUGCAGUGUUGCCUUGGGAGAUUAAGGCUGGAUCUAGGCGAUUAUCUUUUCAAGAUCAAUUGGCUGCCGAUGAUUAUGCCACGUUGAUGACCGAUGAGUUAGAUGAUUUAGCAGGGCAUCGGUUAAAGGCUUUAAUGAGUAUAGAAGAAAAUAAGAAGAGAGUUGCUAGAUGGUAUGAUAAAAAAGUAAAGGCUAAGGAGUUUGCCGAUGGGGAUUUGGUAUGGAAGUUGAUUUUGCCAGUUGGGACUAAAAGUUCGAAGUUUGGGAAGUGGUCUCCUAAUUGGGAAGGUCCUUAUCGGAUAAGACAUUCAGCUCCUGGUAAUGCCUAUAUUCUAGAAACUCUCGAAGGAGUUGAAUUUCCCAGAGCAUUAAAUGGAAAAUAUUUAAAGAAGUACUACCCCAGCAUAUGGGUCGACGCAUAAAAGUUUAAGUGCCGAUAACACUCCUAUCGGCUGGAUUUAAAUGUUCGGGGGCAGACUUAAUGUUUCAAAAGAUGCCGAUAACAGUCUUAUCGGCUAGACUAAAAGCUAAAAGCGGAAAAACAAAGGUGUGUUGCCGAUGAAAGCUUCAGAUGUUCAGCAGCGCUUGGAUUGCUGAUAUGGCGCGCAGCCGAAUCUGAUUGGCUGUCUCUAUCUCUUUGAUAUCAUCAUCGGCAGAACCUUCUAUCGGCUUCAGCUUCCUCUUCAGCUGCAGCGCUUUGCGACCAUGGACGUUUCGUUCUUGUUCAAGGUGCUUGAUGGUCUCCGGCAGUUGACUCUCUUCUUGCUGGGCUUGGGACAGAGCGUCCUCUACUUGCUUGAGUUCGGCCAGUAGAGCUUCUCUUUUUGCCGAUAGAUCAGACACUUUCUGCUUCAGUGCAUCACCUGAGGACUUUAAGGUGCCGAUGUUCUUAUGUUUCUCAUCGGCUAAGAGUUUUUCUUUCAUCAUCUCCUCAGAAAGCUGGAUUUGAGCGGCUCUAUCGGCAAGGCGUUGAGUGGCUCUCUGGUACUGUAGCUGGCGGCUUUCUAGGUGUGCAGCAUGGAAGAGUGUUUCUUCAGCAUCGGCAGGAAGUUGGCCUCUAAGGGUCUUGAACAGGGCUUUGGCUGGGUCAGAAUCAUUGACCAGUUGAGUUGUUUCUUGAUGAAGUAUGGCCGAUAGCUCUUCCAGCUUAGCUCUGGUUUCUGCCGAUACAGUUCCAACUGCCCGGGAGGAGCUUGCUUCCUCGCCUUCUUCUUCGAAGAUAUCAAUGGCGAAGGAGAAUAAGCUGUUGGGAGAAUCUUGUUCCUGAAAAUGAAGACGAAAUAAGUCAGUUUUAUGGUCAAAACUUCGGCAGACGAUACUGGUGGAAAAUUGGAUGACUUACUUGCUUCAAGGCGAUUUCUUGCCUUUGACUCAAAGAUGCCGAUGGAGCUACAGGUUGAUCGGCAAAUGCUGCCGAUGGAACGAUAUCGCCUGAAAGAAGACAGGAAGGAUUAUGAGACUAAAUGAGAAUAAGUUUAUCGGCGGAAGUAUUGUUGAGAUAUGUUACUCGGAGGAGAAACAACAGUUGCCUGAAUCGGGGAAACCGCCGAUGAUAUAACUGGACCUGCCGGGCCAGUUGGUUGUUCACCUACGUCAGCUGAUGUACCUUCUGUUUGAGGUUCUUCCUGCUGGGGUUCUUCCAUCUGUGGUGCUUCCUGUAUUGGUUGGGAAGAUGGUGCUUGUUGUAUCUGGACUUCUGGAGAAGAAGGGGAAGAUUCCACCGGGAUUGGAGACACCGGAGGAGGAGGAGGAGUUGCCACUUUCUGGCGCUUUGUUCCAGCCUUAGCACCUUGGAUGCCCUUCCUCUUUGGCUGACUAGACUGGGGGGCAUCGGCACCUUGGCGUUUGGCUUUUGCCGAUGCACCAGUUUGCUGCAACAACAAAAAGGAGUUUAUGAGCACAGAUAACCGAUACAAAGAUAGUCAGCAUAAAUGAAAAAGGUUUUAACAGAUUGCCUUGAAAGCUUGCGCCAGAGUAGAAGCAGUUACCGUUGGUGAUGUCUGAGUUUUCCUGGUGGUAACUUUCUUGAGACGCGCACCCCGGUGCACGAUGGAAGCCAGAGUGGGAGCAUUAUGGCCGAUUGAGGAGAUCGGGCCUGAUGGGAAUAAGUCGAUCGGCUUGCCACUCCUGCUAACCGAUGGGGGGGUGUUGUCAAUCUGCAAAAGGAAUACAGGGGUAAGUUACCGAUGGGAAUAGUAUUGGAAAAUGAGACAUCGGUUUAAAAUACUUACAGUGUCAUCAGGGACUUCGUAUUCGGGGUCGAUCAUGCCGCGGUAUGAGAGGGCCGAUCUGCAGAAUAGAUUCUCUUUCCAUUCUGCCCACCAUAGCUUGUAUGCCUGAGUGAUAAAGGCAGCUGGAACCCAUUCUGACAGAUCUACAUCUGUAUCGGCAUUUGGUGGUAGCUGGGCUACUCGAGUCCACUCGAGGAGGUUGGCGAUGGGUUCUCUGGGCUUUAUUACAUCGGCAUAAGGAAGUGCAAUCGGCAAUUGGCCGAAAGCUAGCUGGCGAGCUAAUGCCGAUGGAUUAUAAAAUUCAUAGGUUUGGGGGGAGGUUUUCGUGCUACCGAAGAAAUUCACUGGUAUGGCUCUGGGAGUCACGAUUGCCAUCAUCACCUCAUUGUCCCUGUCAAGAGCUUCAUCAAAUGGAUUGAAGGUCAGAGGGAGCAUGCUGUCUGGGUCGUCAUAAGCCAGCCAUGGUCGUUCAUCUCUGGCCAGACCCUCAUACAGAGUCUCGAAGGAUCGGCCGAUCUGAUCCGGAUUGUUCCCUGAACCGGGUAAGACUAUAACGGCUUCACCAAAGUUCAAGGGGGCACGCGUUGCCGAUUCCUCUUCACCUAACACAUGAUUCUCGGCUAUAUCUCUUGGGAAGUGCUGUGAGAACAAGUUGAAAUCAAGGCGCUUAUGCAGGUGCAGAUUGAGCCACAUAUUAUAAACCACCAGGGGCCUCCCAAGUUGCCGAUGGAUUGGCCAAGCAGGAGUUUCUGGGCUACUUGAUGAAGAAGGUGGUAAACAGCGCCGAGCAAAUAUCGGCCGAGAGGAAAUUGGCCGCCGCUAGCCAGUCUUUCUGCUGCCGAUAGAUAGACAGAAGUCGGUCCUGCCGAUCGACCACAGAAUACAAACUUGUCCAGCCACAUGUUCAGAAAGGUGGUUUGCUCCUUUGUGGUGACAGGCCCUCUCCCGCGGUACUUCUGGAUGUACCCUGACCAACCGCCGAUAGCGCGAUUCUCCACUUUGGCACUGGGGGCGGUAUCAAAAAAGUGGGUGCUAUCGGCAGAAGAUAUAUCUAGCCCAGUAAGCAUGGCUACAUCGGCAAGGGUAGGAGAAGCAGGGCCGUGGCCAAAAACAAAAGCAUUGAGAGUGUCUGACCAAAAGUAGGAUGCAGCUAUCAGCAAUGACUCGUUCCUGUGCAUAUCGGCAAUGGAUAGCCUAAUGCAUUGAGCUAGCUUCCUCUCACCCCAUUGAACUUCAUAAGAAUUGCUGACCCUCAAGAACCAAUCUUUCCACCCUACAGUAGGGCUGGGCCAAGAACGAAAGGUGUCUUUCCACAGAUCUAAAGAAAAGUUUUCAGCUCUAAAGGGAAUCCUGUUGGUUUCUGCAUUGAUAAGGUCGGUUGGAUCUGGAUCCCCUAGAGGGCCGAGGCACUGAAGGUGUGGUUGAUCGGUAGGGAUGACAAUUUUGUUGGACAACUCCUAGUGUUUUGGGGAGUAAAAAUACAAAGAAAAAGGAAAAGGAAAAUGUUCGGUAAGAUGAAUCGCAGAUGAACAGGAAUGCGAGAAAAAGGUACAGCAGAUGAGAUGGAAGUCUGACCUCAGGGACGAUGAAGCCAAUGGCCAUCUUGUCGUGAAGAGGACGUUGGAGGGCACCGGAGUUGAUGAAGAAGAGUGCUUGUCGGAGGUCUUGAGGGUUGUAGAUGGCGCCGCCGCUGGAAAAGCAAAGUUGGAUAGUAGAAUGGUGUAAUGGGGGAGGAGUACCCAAGAAGGAACUUUUUAUAGGACAAGAUGGGCAAGGGCAAAUCCGUCUUAUCUCUUUGCCGCAUCCGAGAAGCCCGAGGGUACUCAGGUGGAUAUGGUAACUGUUCGCACGGUAAUCCAGGGAUUGUGCAGGUGAUUUGAUAGGAAGCGGUCAUUAUCUAAAGAUAUUUUACUGUGCGCGAUCUCCUGGUCCGUCCAUCGGCGAUAUUCUAUAACGGUCAUCUUGCCGAUGGGCGGAUAGACAGGGGGUAACCGUUUUUUGCGAAUAUCCUGGUCAGAGCAUCGGCAGAUCUUUAUAACGGAAUUGUUGCCGAUGUACUACCAAGAAAGAUGCCCGUUUAGGAAGUUGGGAAUUUCGAGGAAUCUGCGGAGGAUUAGGAUCAGAGUUGUCCAGAUUGAGGUUGUCGGUUACCGGAUUAGGAGCAUUAAUUGCGGAGAAGGCAUCAUUACUGCAGAGAAUUUCGGAGCAUUAAUAGUUUUAUACUCCGAAACUGGGGGGCAUGUGUUGACACCGUUUUUGGGCACGUGUCCAGGAUGGCAGGAUAGGGUGGCAGUACAAUGCGGGUUGCUGAUGAGGAUGGUUGCCGAUGAGGGAGAGGUUGAAUGUGACUAAGUCCACAGGCAGUAAUAUGGUGCCGAUGGCUGGAUAAAAAGGUCUGCCGAUGACUAUGGCAAGGGGAUUGCCGAUGACGCGAAGGAGGAGUCCGGAAGCUGCCAGUUGUCAUCUGGAGGAGUUUCGGUUUGCUACGAAGGAUAGUUUUAUUAUUUCCUUAGUUAUUUGCGUCGUUUUGUAUACGGAUUCCGUGUAAUUUGGAAUUCGAAUUCUAAUCGUGUCUGGUCGUAGCUCUUUGAGCCGGGUAUAAAUAUAAACCCUAGGACCUUGUAAUCAAGAAUCAAGAAAUCAGUCAAACACACGUUUUUACUCAUAUUCCAGCAUCUACUUUUCGACGACUUCGUCAUACUUUUUCCUUUUAUUACGAGUUCAUAGGAAUUCGUCGACUUAAGCUCGGCGUGUUCUCGAGUUCCGCGUGAGUACCUCUUAGCCGUGACAUCCGGGCGCAUCGCUGUUGUCAGGAAAGUAUUCGAGUUAUCACCUUUGCCGAUAGCAAGGUCAAAUCGGCUGGCACGCCUUAACGUUUGAAUCGGGUAUUAGCCCUUUGUGUUUGCAGAUCAGUUUUGCAUCAACACACACCUUCAAUGCCUCGGCCCUCUAGGGGACGCAGAUCCAACUGACCUUAUCAACGCAGAAACCAACAGGAUCCCCUUCAGAGCCGAAAAUUUUUCCUUAGAUCUGUGGAAGGACACCUUCCGCUCUUGGCCCAGCCCAACUGUAGGGUGGAAAGACUGGUUCUUGAGGGUCAGCAACUCUAAUGAAGUUCAGUGGGGUGAAAGGAAUCUAGCCCAAUGCAUUAGAUUGUCCAUUACCGAUAUGCAUAGGAACGAGUCACUACUGAUAGCUGCAUCCUACUUUUGGUCAGACACCCUCAAUGCUUUUGCCUUUGGCCACGGCCCUGCUUCUCCUACUCUUGCCGAUGUAGCCAAGCUUACUGGUCUAGAUAUAUCUUCUGCCGAUAGCACCCACUUUUUUUGAUACUGCCCCUAGUGCCAAAGUGGAGACUCGCGCUAUCGGCGGUUGGUCGGGGUACAUUCAGAAGUACCGUGGGAAAGGAUCUGUCACCAUAAAGGAACAAACCACCUUUCUGAACAUGUGGCUGGACAAGUUUGUAUUCUGUGGUCGAUCGGCAGGACCGACUUCUGUCUACCUAUCGGCAGCAGAAAGACUGGCUAACGGUGGCCGAUUCCCUCUCGGCCGAUACUUGCUUGGCGCUUCUUACCACCUUCUCCAUCAAGUAGCCCAGAAACUUCUGCUCGGCCAAUCCAUUGGCAACUUGGGAGGCCCCUGGUGGUUUGUCAACAUGUGGCUCAAUCUGCAUCUGCACAAGCGUCUCAACUUCAACCUGUUCACACAGCGUUUCCCAAGAGAUAUAGCUGAAAACCAUGUAUUGGGUGAAGAGGAAUCGGCAACACGCGCCCCCUUGAACUUUGGCGAAGCUGUCAUAGUUCUGCCUGGUUCAGGGGGUAAUCCAGAUCAGAUCGGCCGAUUCUUCCAGACUCUGUAUGAGGGUUUGACCAGAGACGAACGACCAUGGUUGGCUUAUGAUGACCCAGAUAGCAUGCUCCCUCUGACCUUCAAUCCGUUUGAUGAAGCUCUCGACAGGGACAAUGAGGUGAUGAUGGCAAUUGUGACUCCCAGAAUCAUUCCAGUGAAUUUCUUUGGUAGCACAAAAACCUCCCCUCAAACUUACGAAUUUUACAAUCCAUCGGCAUUAGCUCGCCAAUUAGCUUUCGGCCAGUUGCCGAUUGCACUUCCUUAUGCCGAUGUGAUAAAACCCAGAGAAACUAUCAACAACCUUCUUGAGUGGACUCGAGCAGCCCAACUACCACCAAACGCUGAUAUAGAUGUAAAUCUGUCAGAAUGGGUUCCUGCUGCUUUUAUCACUCAGGCAUACAAGUUAUGGUGGGCAGAAUGGAAAGAGCAUCUAUUCUGCAGAUCGGCACUUUCAUACCGCGGCAUGAUCGACUCCGAAUACGAAGUUCCCGAUGACACUGUAAGUAACUCAAACCAACGUUUCAUUUUCUCAAUAUUACCCCCAUCGGCAGCUUACCCUUGUAUUCCUUUUGCAGGUUGACAAUAUUCCUCCAUUGGUUAGCAGGAGUGGCAGGCCGAUCGACUUGUUUCCAUCAGGCCCGAUUUCCUCAAUCGGCCACAAUGCUCCCACUCUAGCUUCAUCGUGCAUCGGGGUGUACGUCUCAGGAAAGUCACCACCAGAAGAACUCAGACAUCACCAACGGUUGCUGCUCCCACUCUUGCGCGGGCUUUCAAGGCAAUUUGUCAAAUCUUUUCCUUUAUGCUGACUAUCUUUAUAUCGGCUAUAUUUAUGCUUAUAAACUCUUGUUCAUUAUUGCAGCAAACCGACGCAUCGGCGAAAGCCAGGUGUGAGAGUACCGAUGCCCCCCAGUCUAGCCAACCCAAGAGAAAGGGCACCACGGGUGCUAAGACUGGAACAAAGCGCCAGAAGGUAGCAACUCCCCCUCCUCCUCCGGUAUCUCCAAUUCCGGUGGAGUCUUCUCCUUCUUCUCCAGAAGCCCAGCCACAGCAAGCACCAUCUCCCCCACCUAUGCAGGAAGCACCACAGAUAGAAGAACCCCAACAGGAAGGAUCUCAAACAGAAGAUACAUCAGCUGACACGGGUGAACAAACAACUGGUCCGGUCGGUCCAGUUAUACCAUCGGCAGUUCUCCCGAUUCAGACAACCGUUGUCCCUCUUCCAGGUAACAUACUUUAACAAUAUCGCUACCGAUGAACUUAUUCUUAUUUAGUCUCAUAACUCCUUUUGUCUUCUUUCAGUUGAUAUCGUUCCAUCGGCAAUCUCAGCCGAUCAACCUGUAGCUCCAUCGGCAUCUUUGGCCGAUCAGCCUGCAGCUCCGUCAGCACUUCUCAGUCAAAGACAAGAGAUCGCCUUGAAGCAAGUAAGUCACCAUUUACCGUUAGCACUAUUUGCCGAUUCUCUGAGUAUGAGCUAAUUUUGCUUUCCCUCCCAGGAACAAGAUUCUCCCGAUAGCCUGUUCUCCUUCGCCAUCGAUUUCUCUGAAGAAGAAGGUGAAGAAGCAAGCACUUCUCAGACGGUCGGCAUCACAUCGGCAGAGGUCAGGGUCAGGCUGGAAGAAUUGUCAGCUCUCCUUCACCAGGACACAGCGCAAUUGGUUGAUGAUUCCGACCCUACCAAGACCCUGUUCAGAACUCUCAGAGGCCAAAUCCCAGCCGAUGUUGAAGAAAUCCUGUUCCAAGCCGCUCAUCUGGAGAGUCGCCAGCUGCAGUACCAAAGAACUUCUCGGCGGCUUGCCGAUAGAGCCACUCAGACUCAACUCUCCGAUGAAAUGAGAAAAGAGAAACUUUUGACCGAUGAGAAGCACAAGAACAUCGGUAUCCUGAGAUCUUCUGGAGACGCGCUGAAGCAGAAGAUAUCCGAUCUAUCGGCAAGAAAAGAGUCCCUGUUGGCGGAGCUCAAGGAAGUAGAGAACGCUCUGUCCCAAGCCCAACAGGAAGAGAGCCAAUUGCCAGAGACCAUCAGGCUUCUUGAGCGCGAGCGAAAUGCUCAUGGUCGCAAAGCACUCCAACUGAAGAAGAAGCUGAAGCCGAUAGAAGGUUCUGCCGAUGAUGACAUCAAGGAGAUAGAAGCAGCCAACCAAAUUCGGCUACGCGCUAUAUCGGCAAUCCAGACGCUGCUUAACACAUAGAGUUUCCAUCGGCAUUGUAUCUGCGCUUUCCUGCUUCCUCAGCUUUUAGUCUAGCCGAUAGGACUGUUAUCGGCGCCUAAACUUUUGAAACACCACGUCUUGUCCCCAAGCAUUUGGAUCCAGCCGAUAGGAGUGUUAUCGGCACCUAAACUUCUAUGCAUCGACCCAUAUACUGGGGUAGUACUUCUUUAAAUAUUUGCCGUUUAAUGCUCUGGGAAAUUCAAUUCCUUCGAGGGUUUCUAGAAUGUAGGCAUUACCAGGAGCCGAUCGACUUAUCCGAUAAGGACCCUCCCAAUUAGGAGACCACUUUUCAAACUUCGAACUUUUGGUCCCAAUUGGUAAAAUUAAUUUCCAUACCAAAUCCCCAUCGGCAAACUCUUUAGCCUUCACUUUCUUAUCAUACCAUCUAGCAACUCUCUUCUUAUUUUCUUCUAUACUCAUUAAAGCUUUUAACCGAUGCUCUGCUAGAUCGUCCAAUUCAUCGGUCAUCAAAGUGGCAUAACCAUCGGAAGUUAAUUGAUCUUGAAAAGAUAAUCGCCUAGAUCCAGCCUUAAUUUCCCAAGGCAACACUGCAUCAUGUCCAUACACCAAUUGAUAGGGUGAUACCUUGGUCGAUCCAUGACAAGCCAUCCGAUAAGACCACAAUGCUUCAUUUAAUAAUGUAUGCCACCGCUUAGGAUUUUCUUCAAUCUUUCGUUUAAUAAGCUUGAUAAUUCCUUUGUUAGAUGCUUCGGCCUGCCCAUUGGCUUGAGCAUAAUAAGGAGAAGAAUUCAACACUUUAAUUCCCAUACCGAUUGCGAAUUCAUCGAACUCCCCCGAUGUGACCAUGGUGCCCUGAUCGGUAGUAAUCGUUUGGGGAAUCCCGAAUCGGUAAAUAAUAUGCUCCUUCACAAAAUCAAUCAUAUUGGUCGAUGUGACUUUCUUCAAAGGAAUAGCCUCAACCCACUUAGUGAAAUAGUCAGUGGCAACUAGAAUGAACUUAUGCCCUUUGCUAGAUGGUGGAUAAAUCUGGCCGAUCAGAUCGAUGGCCCAUCCCCGGAACGGCCAAGGCUUUAUUAUAGGAUUCAUAGCCGAUGCGGGUGCUCUCUGGAUAUUACCAAACUUUUGACAACCUUGACAUCCCUUGAAAUAUUUAAAACAAUCUUCAAGUAUGGUUGGCCAAAAAUAUCCAUUCCUUCGAAUCAUCCACUUCAUCUUAAAAGCUGACUGAUGCGCUCCACACACUCCUUCAUGGAUUUCCCCCAUCAAACUUCUAGCUUCAUCAUCACCCAAGCAUCGGAGAAGAAUUCCGUCGAUAGUUCGAUAAUACAAUUCAUUUUCAAGGAGCACAUACUUGGUUGCUUGAAAUCGAACCCGUCUUUCAACUUGUUUGGAUGGAUCUUUUAGAUAAUCAAUAAUUUCUUUCCUCCAAUCACCGGCACCGACUGCCGAUGUCGCAUUAAUCAUUGGCUGAUAUCCCGAGGCAUGCUGAGCUAACCGAUUAGCGUCUUCAUUAUGCAAUCGGGGAACAUGCUCCAAUCGGAAAUCCUUGAAUUCCUUUAACAGUUGCAUACUUCUCUCGAAAUAAGUUAUGAGAACUUCACUUCGGCAUUCAUAGCUUCCGGCCAAUUGAUUUAUAACCAACAUAGAAUCCCCGAAUAUUUCAACAGCAUCAGCACGAACUUCUCUUAACAACUCCAAUCCCUUGAUCAGAGCUUGAUACUCAGCCUGAUUAUUUGUUGAUGUGGCAACAAUCGGCAAGGAAAACUCAUACUUCCUCCCCUUAGGGGAAACUAAUACAAUGUCGAUUCCUGCCCCCCGGUUACAGGUAGAUCCAUCAAAGAAGAGCGUCCAGGGCACAAUUUCCAAGGUUUCCACUAGACCGCAAUGCUGAGUCACAAAAUCGGCCAUAAUCUGCCCUUUGAUAAGUAGCACCAGCAUUCUUCAACCCAAAAGUCAUGACUAUCCAUUCAAAUAACCCAACAUGACCAGGACACCUGAAUGCGGUUUUUGGAAUAUCCUCCUCCGCCAUGAAUAUUUGAUUGUAACCUGCAUUACCAUCCAUGAAGCUGAUGACCCGAUGACCAGCCGCAGCAUCAACCAGUAGAUCGGCGACAGGCAUUGGGUAUCCAUCCAUCGGCGUAGCUUUAUUGAGAUUCCUGAAAUCAAUGCACACCCGAAGCUUCCCGUUCUUCUUGUAAACCGGAACAACAUUGGAAAUCCAUUCGGCAUACCGACACUGCCGAAGAAACUUAGCUUCAAUAAGUUUAGUGAUUUCGGCCUUUAUAUCAGGUAGAAUGUUAGGAUUACAUCGGCGGGCUGGUUGCUGAUGUGGCCGAAAUCCAGACUUGAUGGGUAACCGAUGUUCAACAAUUGAUCGGUCUAAACCAGGCAUCUCUAUAUCUACUUCUACCAAAUCAUCGGCCAAUGUGAAUCCCUGGCCUAAUUUUCCAUCAUCGGCGAAUCUAUCCAUUAAGAACCGUCGUCAGAACCGACUGCUUGGAUCGGUGGAAUCUCAUAAUCGGCAACUUUGAGAAAAUCUUUCUCCCAAACUUCUCCUGAAAUGCACCUGGUCCUUUCGUAAGUAUCUGCUUCUGCCGAUGCGAUAACAUAAGAAGAAUCUCCUGGGACAAUCUCAAUCUUGUCACCUACCCACUGAACCAAGCACUGAUGCAUUGUAGAUGGGAUACAACAAUUGGCAUGAAUCCAAUCUCUUCCCAAUAAUAAGUUGUAAGCACCUUUUCCGCUGAUCACGAAAAAAGUUGUCGCCAAGGUUUUGCUGCCGAUGGUCAACUCUGCACAUAUCGCCCCCUUGACUGGAGACACGUUUCCUUCAAAGUCUUUGAGCAUCAUAUCGGUCUUGGUCAAAUCUUGAUCCCCUUUCCCAAGCUUCCGAUAUACUGCAUACGGCAUAAUAUUAAUAGCAGCUCCACCAUCAACUAGGAUCUUGGUCAUUGGCUGCCCAUCAACCCUUCCUUUGAGGAACAGAGCUUUAAGAUGCUGCCUCUCGUCAUCGGCAGGUUUCUCAAAGAUAGCCGUCAUCGGAUCCAGAGCCAGUUGAGCUAUCUGAUCAGAAAAUUUCAACUCAUCAUCACUAGCUGGUGCAAGAAACUCCAUCGGCAACAUGAAGACCAUGUUGACGCCUGCCGAUGGACCUUCCCUCUUAGUGUCUGACGGCCGCCGACUUCCAGAGUUCUCUCCCUUGUUUAGCUCUUCUUGCCAUUCACGUUGCAAUCUCCUUUUCUGUGUCUUGGUUAAUCCUCCAGGGCACCAUGGAGGAAGUGGCCUUUGCCUUGCUGUCGGGCGUCGGUUCUCCCUUGACUCCAUACGAUGCGUGUUAGCAUCCCUGCAAAAUAUGAAUUCAUCGGGAACCCGCGCAUCAGCCAUUCCCUCGAGCUCUUCUUGGGUCCUGGGAAAAUACUAGACACGGUCACUAAGUCUGUCGUGCCCACUACAUCUGCCCCCAGCCGGUCAUGAACUGACACCCUUCCUCUGAUCGGCCCAUUAAAUCGCCGUUCAUCAUUAUGAUAAUGCCGAUCGAUCCUAUCGUACCGAUCAUAACCGUUGCACUCAGGGCAGUCUCUGACAGUAGGAAGCUUGAUAUUUUCCUCCCAACAAUGGAUGACAAAUGGACAAUUCCAAUGAUCCCUGUGCCGAUUCCACUCCUGUCGGCGUCUUUCUUCUUCCCGUCGAUAAUCUUCCUGCUGGCGCCGAUACCGAUCUUCCCGUUGUUGCCAUUUUUCUCGAGGCCUUCUAUGAGUUAUGACGAUACCAGAUCGAGGAAGCCUUCCUGAGCUAGUUCCUUCCUGGACCAAGCCCUUACUUCUUGCAUCGGCAGUAGUAACUUGAUGCUGAGGAUCUACCAAUGCACUCUUCUCAGCUGUCUCCGAUGUUAAGACCUUAGCCUUCCCCUUAGCAUCCAACAUGUUUGUCGGGAAAGGAUGUUGGUCUAUCUUCAUCGGCUUCUGGGCUUUGGAACUGUCAAACUUGAUUCUCCCUGACUCUAUAGCCGAUUGCAGCUACUGUCUGAAUACUUUGCACUCGUUGGUGUCAUGGGAAGUUGCAUUAUGCCACUUGCAAUAUCUCAUCCUCUUCAACUCUUCUGCCGAUGGGAUCACAUGGUUAGGUGACAGUUUGAUCUGACCUUCCUUAAGUAGAAAGUCAAAUAUCCUAUCAGCCUUAGCGGUGUCAAAAGCAAACUUCUCUGGUUCCUUCUGCCCAAAAGGACAAGACAUCGGCUUCUUGUUUUUUACCCACUCUGCCAAACCGAUUACUGGUUCUUCAUCAGAAUCUGAGCUUGUUGCUUCAUCAACAAAUGACACUUUCUUAUUCCAUGUUCUCUUAGGCUCGAAAGGCUUGAUGUCUUGAUCAGAAAUCCUCUGCACCAAAUGACUUAAACUUUCGAACUCCUGAGAGGCAUACUUAUCCCUGAUAUGUGGCAACAAACCCUGGAAAGCCAAAUCGGCUAGCUGCCGAUCAUCCAGAACUAGGCUAUAGCAUUUAUUCUUGACCUCUCGUAUCCUCUGCACAAAUCCCUCAACCGACUCAUCAUUACGUUGCCUCAACUUGACCAAGUCGGUGAUCUUCUUCUCAUGAACCCCCGAGAAGAAGUAUCUGUGGAAUUGCUUCUCUAGAUCGGCCCAAGUAAUUACUGAAUUGGGAGGUAAUGAUAUGAACCAAGUAAAGGCCGAUCCAGACAAUGAUGAUGAAAAUAGACGAACCCUCAAUUCGUCCCUGUUACCAGCCUCUCCACAUUGAAUAAUGAACCUGUUGACAUGCUCCAUGGUUGACGUGUCGUCCUGUCCGGAAAACUUCGUAAAAUCCGGUACCUUGUACCGAUGUGGAAGCGGGAUCAAAUCAUACGCUGGAGGAUACGGUGUCCAAUAAGAAUAAGUGUUAACUUUGGGUUUUAUCCCAAAUUGUUCCUGUUUAUGCUGAAAGACCUCAGGCAUUGCUGCUUGAACUCUUCCAUGGCUUGGGCAAUAGCUUGCUUCUGCUCAUCCUUGAGGUUGGCCUCCGUCACGGGGAUGACGUUCUCUUGAUCGAGGUCAGAGAUCGACAUGUUGAUCUUGAUCUUGAAUCUGGUCCCACUGGGCGUGCCAAAAGAUGUGUUGAUGCAAAACUGGUCUGCAAACACAAAGGGCUAAUACCCGAUUCAAACGUUAAGGCGUGCCAGCCGAUUUGACCUUGCUAUCGGCAAAGGUGAUAACUCGAAUACUUUAGUCCUGACAACAGCGAUGCGCCCGGAUGUCACGGCUAAGAGGUACUCACGCGGAACUUCAGAACACGCUGAGCUUAAGUCGACGAAUUCCUAAGAACUCGUAACAAAAGGAAAAAGUAUGACGAAGUCGUCGAAAAGUAAAUGCUGGAAUAUGAGUAAAAACGUGUGUUUGAUUUCUUGAUUUUAUUAUUACAAGGCCCUAGGGUCUAUAUUUAUACCCUGCUCAAAGAGCUACAACCAGACACGAUUAGAAUUCGAAUUCCAAAUUACACGGAAUCCAUAUACAAAACGAUGCAAAUAAUUAAGGAAAUAACAAAACUAUCCCUCGUGACAAACCGAAACUCCUCCACAUAACGACCGGCAGCUUCCAGAUUCCUCCUUUGCAUCAUCGGCAGAUCCUUUGCCAUAGUCAUCGGCAGACUUUCUUAUCUAGCCAUCGGCACCAUAUUACUGCCUGUCACAUUCAACUUCUCCCUCAUCGGCAACCAUCCUCAUCGGCAACCCGCUUUGUCAACAUCAUACUGCCACCUUAUCCUGCCAUCCUAGACACGUGCCCAAAAACGGUGUCAACAACAUGAAAUGAGCAGGUGCAUUCGUAAGCCCGAAGGACAUGACAAGGUACUCAUACAACCCAUACCUCGUCGAGAAAGCCGUCUUAGGUAUAUCUUCGGGACGGAUCUUGAUCUGAUGGUACCCAGAUCGCAAAUCAAUCUUGGAGAAUACCUUAGCUUUAGACAACUGAUCAAACAAGAUAUCAAUGCGAGGAAGAGGGUAUUUGUUCUUGAUAGUCACCGCAUUUAGGGGACGAUAGUCCACACACAUGCGCAAAGAUUGAUCCUUCUUCUUCACAAAGAUGGCCGGACAACCCCAAGGAGAAGAACUAGGACGAAUAAGACCCUUCUGCAACAACUCAUUUAGUUGGGUCUUAAGCUCAGCUAAUUCAUUGGGCGGCAUCCUAUAAGGUCUUCUAGAGAUAGGAGCGGUGCCUGGAAUCAAUUCAAUUUUGAACUCCACAUCCCGAUCCGGAGGAAGCCCGGGCAAAUCAUGAGGAAAUACGUCCGGAAACUCACACACCACUGGAAUAUCCUGAAUAGCCUUAGAUGUAACUGCAUUCACAGUGCUACGGAUUUGAAUAUCACGAGGGAGUUGCACUAGAAAUGCCUCCUUGGUAUCUGGGUCUUUCAACAUCACUACACGAGUGGUGGUGUCUAUAAGAACUCCAUUACCACUCAUCCACUUCAUCCCCAGAAUUACAUCUAUGCCCACACCGGGUAGAACAACCAGAUCAGCAAGAAACUGACGGCCUCCUAUCUCCAGAGUUGCCCCCAAAACCACUUGAUUGGUGGAAACAUCAUUUCCCGCAGCACUAAUACAAUAACUGCCCUGAUCAAGUGUGAUGGUCUUGAUGCUAUGCUUAGAUACAAAUUCAGAACUCACAAAAGAAUGCGAUGCUCCAAAAUCAAAAAGCACGAGUGCAUCAUGUUGAUUGACCAGAAACUUACCAGCCGUGACUACCACACCAGCAGGGAUUGCCUCCACAGUUGUGUAGUGAACACGCCCCUGACGGACGUUCCCCUGGUUGCCCUUCUUUGGCGGGUAAGGACAGUUGCUCUGCCAAUGCCCGGUCUGAUUGCAGUUCCAGCACGGACGGUUGGCAGGUGGAGUCUUGGCAUAUCUGGGACCCGUGUUGCCCCUAGGAAGAGCAAUAGAGUACCCCUUGCGAAAACCCGUCUUUGCCUGAUUCUUCUUCACCGGAGGGCGGUAUCGCUGGUUGGGGGUUGGAGCACGGAAUGGUGGCUUAGCUGCCACUGGAGCCUUGGACUGAGAUGACCCAGCACUGGCCUCAAAAGCCCUCUUGCGAGUCUUGGUCGCAGUGUACACAGUGUUAUAGUUCUCUUGGGUGAGAGCAUCACUGACAAACUCGUUGAAAGUUGCACACUUAGUGCGGCCCAUAGUCUUCAGCAAUUUGGGACCCAAACCCCGCUUGAAACUAGCAAUCUUUUUCGUCUCCGUGUUCACAAACUCAGGAGCAUACCUAGACAAGUGAUUGAAAGCAUGCAAAUACUCCUUCAGAGUCUUGUUGCCCUGAGUCAGCUGCAUGAACUCGGUGUGCUUCAUCUCCAUAACACCCGGAGGAAUGAAAUGCCCUUUGAAAGCCUCACGGAAAAGAUUCCAAUCAAUCACCGUGGCAGCCGGUAGAGCUUCCCGGUACUGAUUCCACCAGAUGCCUGCUGGUCCCUGCAGUUGGUGAGCUGCAUACUCCGCCUUCAAACCUUCAGUCAACCGAAGUAGGCGAAACUUUUGUUCCACCGUAUUCAGCCACUCUUCAGCUUGAAGGGGUUCUUUAGCUUCUCUGAAAGGUGGGGGCUUCGUAUCCAUGAAGUCCUUGAAGCUACUGUACUGGUUAGGAGCUGGCCCUUCCUGUGCAUUACGGCCACCCUGAUUUGCCAUACGAUUGAUGGUUUCAGUGAGCAUCCUCUGAUUUUCCACCAUCAUUUGCAUCAGCUCAGCUGGAUUUGGUGGUGGAGGAGGAGGUGGUGGAUUCAUGUUUGCACGCUGUUCCGCACCCUGGGUGCCACGAGACAUCUGUAAAGACACAGUCAGUGAGCAUUGAUGAUGACAAGAUUUGCCGUAGAAGAACUUAUACUCAUGCCUGAAAGUAUUCGAGAGAAUAACUUCACAGAAAGGCACAAUAAUUCAAUUCCACAAAACAACAUCACCAAUCCAACUCACGACAUAGAUAUCCGCAAUACGCACCACAACGGAAAACAUCGGCACAACAUAACGAUCAUAUAGACUGCACAUAGGGUCCAUAAGGUUAUUACACCAUCACAGUACAUGCCAUGAGUCAAGGUCAAAGUUUCGAAUUACAACAUGGUUACAAAAGCACCACAACCGACUGGCAUACAACAAAAGAUCCUGCAGCAACUACUCACUACUCCCUACACUCCAGGCUCGUCGUCCGAGUCAGCGUCGAAGAUCGCCUCUCCAUCCUCGUCGCUAACCGGCUCAAGCUCCUCAUCCUCCACGUCCUCGUGUAAAGGUGGUGCAGCCACUGCUGGCCCAUCGACCUCCAUACCAUCAUCCUCGGCCACAAUCACCUGAGGUCCCACCUCUGGAUACACUGGGAUAGGGCGAGGAAUAGGGUGUAGCAAGUUGUUGAGACGGUGAAUCUCCACAAGACCAGCCUCAAUCUGACCCUGUAGAUAGUUCUCCCGCUCAAGCGACUGAACUCGGUGCAUCUCCCAUGCUUGGCGCCUGUUCUCCGACACACAGAGUGCAGUAUCCCUCUCACGGGUGAGCUGCACCAAGCGCUCCUGCAAGGUCUCCUUCUCUCUAGCUAACUGGCUCAUCUGAUCCUGCUUAUGAUCUCUCUCUGAUGGCUUUCACCCACUGCUGCCUCCGAUACUCCGCAAUGUCUUCCCAGUCAUUGCGGUCCUUCUGAGCUUGCUCCAGGAGCCUAGCUUGCUUGCGAAAUUUGCGAGCACGCUUUUCAGCCUUCCGCUGCAUCUCCUGUGCCCUACGAACAGCCACCAUCACCUAUGCAUAGGUGUCCUCUCGCUGACUGAUCAGCUUGAGUACAGCCAUCAUAGCAUUCAUAGCAGGACUAGAGCUCUCAGCUCUCUCUCCUCUGCCUCGAACCAAAGCACAACCAUCAGCCUGUUUCCACUCCGCGGCUGCUGGGUCAGCACUAGGAAUGGAGGCCGCUGGUCCUCCUGUCAGCUCGUUACCACACCUCUGACAGAUGUCGAGCAGGAUAGUCUGGGCUGCAACCUGAGCUGCCUCCCAAGGAGUCUGCCCAUCUGAGCUGCACGUCCAGCCUGUCCAUGCAGGCUUGUCCCCGCGUGGAGGGACAACUCCCUGCACAGCAAACCACUGGAUCUCUCCUGUGCUCUCCAUCUCCCACCAAGAAUACUGAGGUGGCUCAGUAUACCCAACAGUCCGUAACACUCUCCAGAGCAGGGUAGGAGUGCCAGACUCGUGCAAGAAAGUGUCACUGGGACGAGGUGAGGCGGGUGCGUCCAUCUGUGGAAAGGAAUGGGAAUACCAUGGUAAAAGAGGAUUAGUUGAAGCAACAUUUAUUUAUUUAAAAAGGGACGAAAUUGUAAGGGAAGGAGCAGACAGAAUGUAUGUAUGAAUGCGACAUGAUGCAUGCACGAACCGUACGUCCUCACAAACUUAGAAAAUUAAUAUUCUAACGGAUAUACGGUGGCAUACAUUCGUCUCUCGAUACGGUAACUAUCGGUUUACACGUACGUUGUUAGAGUACCUGCAGAAAACUUCACUUCAGCCCAACAGUUCCCAAUAUAUAUCACUCAAGAAACCAGUAAACUAAGUGCACAUUGCUUGGGCAUGCCCAACAUGCUCAAACAAUGACACCACAACUACCCGAGAAAUUAAAUACUCCCCAAUUAAGUUUCUUUCGUGGUUCCAUGGUUUCGACAUGUAGCCACUCCAGAAAACCACCGCGAACACUCCCCUAGACCGCCGUUUGGACGAUCAUGCUCUCACAGCUCCCACUUACCUGAGCGUAGGUGCGACGUUGCAUAAUUUAAAUCUAGCGACAUAUGUGGCUAAUUCACAUAUGAAGGCUACCUCCACCAUUAUACCACAGGGUAGCAUAGUGCGGUCAUCACACAUCCAUACCUGAGUACUGCCGGAGAUGCAUAAAUAAAACCCCCCAAGUCAGUACUUAAAUAGCCACCUAGAGUCCUUAUGUGGGCAAGGAGGAUUCGACCACUGGCAUAACUUAAUUACUUAUUAAACACCAUUUUAUUUAAAAACUCUUUUGUUUUAAAUACACAAAUGCUGCAUUUAUAAUGCUGAACUUGCUCCGAUGCCAGCUGUCACAGAACCGACCAAAUUAUAAGAGUUCAAGUGCAGAAACGAUCGUCAAACAAUCAAGUUUCUUAACUUGAGCCCAUAUAAUCCCGGUAGUCAAUUGAAAUCACAAAGGACUUCAAACCAACUCGCAACAAACCAAGAUCGUAAUAGUUCAGCAUAAACACAACGAUUGUUACAUAGUCAUUCAUUGCCGACGAAGCGGCACCACAUCGGAGUCAUUAAGUUAUUACAACCCAAGUUUGAAGUAGCGGAAGCAAAAUAGUUACACACAUCCGUUCAAAGUUCAGUUCACAAGUUUGUUAUUGCCAGAGUCUAGGUCAUCAUUCCAAAAGCAUCAUAGACGAGAAGAGUAGAGAACCGUGCCCAACGGUUAGUCCUCAUCCCCAGCGGGAUGGAGACAGGUCUUGCAGAAACCGUCAUAGAAGAUAUCAUCUGCAACAGGUGGGAAUAAACCCUGAGUACGAGGAUGUACUCAGCUAGACUUACCCGUCUAGUAAAACACAAAAGACACCAAGGAUCAUGCAAGGCUAAAUCUUAAGUGGAGCUGGUUGACUCACCUUUUGCCAAAAGCUUAACUUACAACUAAGUUAUUUUAAGGGCAUCAUUUUUAUUUAUCAUCAGCCUACCACUAGAUUAGCACCUGUACUACAACACAUCACUUGAUUAUUACAAACAAUAUUAACCAUAUCAAAUUCAUCAUAUGUUCUUCUUGCUAUCAUCAUUAUCACGAACCAAGUUCAUUAGUGAAUGCUACGUUUGCCGCUGCUCUGUCAAGUUCUCACUAACCGGGAGAGACGGCGAUUCGAAUCGAAUUCCUAUCCAGCUGGAGGAUUAUUCCUAGCACUCACCCAGGCAUCCCCUGCCGGAGAGCCAAAGGGUCACCUUUGGUACGACUCAGGAAUCGCGGCUCCGAUCAGCGCCGCACUCCCAGGGCUACCACUCUGCCAGGGAGGUCAGGAAUUUUAACUCACCAGCCUUUGGACUUACGCCAAUGGUCCCCCGCACACCGCACUUCCUCCGGUAGUGCGCACUUUAUACUUGCCGGUCUUCCGGCCUGAGUCAUACUACUCGGCUUCGCGGUCGGAACGAGUUAUCCGGCCAACUAAGUGUCAGGCAUGCGUUCAACAUGACAAGAGGACGUACAACGAUCGGUCCUUAGCUGCCACAGAUGGAGUUACUACACACUUGCAAAACUCCGCCCGGCUUAAGUCAAUUUAACCAGGUUCCAUCCACGAUAGCACAUAUAGACCAUCGUGACCCGACACAACCCUAUAUCGCGCGGAUGACAGAAUAUCACCCGACUUCUACCGAUUAAAGCAUAGCUAAGCUGCUACUCGAAUCUAACUCUACAACCAGGGAGGGUGAGUUAUCUGGACAAGGAUAGAGUAGAAUGCAGCAACAGUUUCAUCACAACUCCUAUACGUAAUGCAUCAAUAGAUAUAACGUAUUAAGUAAACUUUUCGGAAAUAAGGGGAGACUUAGAAUGCUCCGGGGCUUGCCUUUCACGAACGAUGCCGGCUCGUGAUUCGGGCACUCAACUUCUUCUUCGGGCUCCUCGAGUCCGGCUUGCUGGACCUCCACUUCCUGGCUGCCCUCCUGACCUUCGGGAUUCGCUUGGAGCUCGAAGGAAACUGCCACGUCCGGUGCACCUAUUGCAUGCUCGAUGAAUGAGAAGGUGCACAUGCUACAGAUGAAUGCUUAAUAACACAAGCAACUCACUGGACACUCAUUUACGGAGCAGGAGUUAUACUAACUCACAUGAAUAAACAAGUUAACAUAACCCAAAACCUAUCAUGACACUAAAGCAGCAAAUGACACAAAACAAGUAUGCUCAGUAAAUAAAUCAUAAUUAUAGAUAGACAGGUCCAACAAACAUGAGUAAGGACAUUCUGGAAAGCUUACGAAAUUGUCUACAAUUAAUCUUUAAACAUGACAGCAAGAUUCAUACAUGAAACUGGUCAUUUAAACAAAGUUCCAAGUUCUGUCCCAGAAAAACAGAGAACACCUAUUUCUGGAACCCAACUUGGAACAUCUAUAACUUUUAAACUACUUGGCCAAAUGACUUCAAAUUUAAACCACAGCUGGCUCUAUAAGUUUAGAACAACUUUGAUUUAGACAAGUUUCACAGAAAGUCAAGUUAUCAUUAAGCAAAGUUAAAUUGCUCACUUGCUGUCCAGAACAGCAUUUAACCCUAUAGUUAAUUAUUUAAUGACAUGAUCAAAACACAAACCAUGCCAACCAUAUGACUCAUGAGCACAAACAUAUUACAAGGUCACCAGAUCAUCAGUUGAAAACCCCAAAACAAUUACUUAACAAGGCAUUUAUUAAUUAACUUUAGAUAAGGCAUAUUUACAAGAUAUUAGUUAAAGUGCUCAGAAAAAUCUACAAAAAUUACAGAGGCACAAGUAUAACAUCAGAUCACCACCAUAAAAAUUUCAGGACCAAUGCACAUGCCAAAUUAAAGAUAUGCAUUUAACAUGUAUCAAGGCAUUUAUUUCAUAAAUUCAUAAACAUGACUUAUAUAGUGUCAAACAACAGAUUUCAGAUUAUUUACAUCUUAGGAAUACCAUAAACAAGUUUACCACCAAAAUAGAGCAUCAGCAUAAACAGCAAUUAUUUUAUGUGAUUUAAUUAAAGAAACAAGCCAUAUUUCAAACACAAAUUACAUAUCACAACAACAGUGCUCCAAAAAUCAUGAAAUAAUUAUCAGAGCACUCCAAUGCCAUGCAGAGACCACCAUAAAAUUUUCAAAGCAAACUAAGCAGUAUAACAAGAGAUAUGCCUUUCUCCAUAAAUAACAAGAUUAAAUCCUUAAUAAAUAAUUUCUCAGAAAACAUGAUUCAUUUUAUAUUUUUAUUAAAUACUAGCCAUCUCAAGAAACACCACAAAAUUUGUUUCACAAUUUUUGGAUCUCAGAAACAGGAGAUAUGAUUUUUGCAAGAAAGCCAAAAAUCAGGAUUUUGAAUAAAAGAAAAGGAGGGAAAGAGAGAGUCGCUGACAGUGGGUCCCAUCUGUCAGGCUCUUCUUCCUCACGGCCGAGGCGAUAUUCGCCGGCGAUUUCUCCGCGACGGCGAGGUCUACGGCCAAACCCAGGGCAUCAACGUGAUCCCCGAACCAUAACGUUUCGAUUGACCCCACUUUUGCCACGGCGGAGCCACCGGAAGGGGCUCACCGUCGGCAAUGGCGGCUCGGCGGAGGUGCCCGGCGUUACGCCGGAGCCCUCAGGCCGGUAGAGCGCGACCUAAGGCCUUCUACAGCACCAACGGACUACGGCGAAGCUUCCUAGGUACGCGGCUUGGCCUGGAUCCCCGUGGAAAGCGCUGGCCACGAGAGCACCCAACUCCGGCGGAAGCACGGCGGCGCUGCGCACCGUGUCCGGCGACGGAGAACCCGGUAGAGCGUUGUUGACACCGUUUUUGGGCACGUGUCUAGGAUGGCAGGAUAGGGUGGCAGUACGAUGCGGGUUGCCGAUGAGGAUGGUUGCCGAUGAGGGAGAGGUUGAAUGUGACUAAGUCCACAGGCAGUAAUCUGGUGCCGAUGGCUGGAUAAAAAGGUCUGCCGAUGACUAUGGCAAAGGGAUUGCCGAUGAUGCAAAGGAGGAGUCUGGAAGCUGCCAGUUGUCAUGUGAAGGAGUUUCGGUUUGUCACGAAGGAUAGUUUUGUUAUUUCCUUAAUUAUUUGCAUCGUUUUGUAUACGGAUUCCGUGUAAUUUGGAAUUCGAAUUCUAAUCGUGUCUGGUUGUAGCUCUUUGAGCAGGGUAUAAAUAUAAACCCUAGGACCUUGUAAUAAUCAAUCAAGAAAUCAAUCAAACACACGUUUUUACUCAUAUUCCAGCAUCUACUUUUCGACGACUUCGUCAUACUUUUUCCUUUUAUUACGAGUUCUUAGGAAUCCGUCGAUUUAAGCUCGGCGCGUUCUCGAGUUCCGCGUGAGUACCUCUUAGCCGUGAUAUCCGGGCGCAUCGCUGUUGUCAGGACUAAAGUAUUCGAGUUAUCACCUUUGCCGAUAGUAAGGUCAAAUCGGCUGGCACGCCUUAACGUUUGAAUCGGGUAUUAGCCCUUUGUGUUUGCAGACCUGUUUUGCAUCAACAAGCGUCACCAGGUGGCGCAAAAGCUCGCUAAGGACCUAAGCUACCUCUAGGACCUAACCAAAGAUGAUGAGAAGCCUCACAGCGCUCGGCAUUGAGUUCGCCGGAGAAGAAGGUCACGGCGGACCGAUUUGGGGGAAGAAGGGAAUGUCGGCUCACCGGUGGGUUUCUCGGCGAGUUAGAGGGUGGAGCUUGGAGAGCGGCUCAUGGCGGAGCUUUGGGUGGAGUUUGGUGGACGGAGACGCAGAGAGGAGCGCACACGAGCUCGCCGGAGUGAGCUCGCGGCGGAGGGCUCGCUGCGGACGAGGUUCAGGCGAGAGAGGGCGAGGCAGAGCGAAGUGGACGCGUCCACUCGCUCGGGGCGCCGCCGUGGAGGUCAUGCACGCGACGGAAGCUGACAAGCGGGGCCAAACGCGGCGUACGGGCGACAAAUGGCGACGGAGCUCUGCCGGCGGUCGGCCACGUCGACGAGGUCAGGCCCGAUUCAGAAGAAAGGGUGCUCGUCUGACAGAGCCACUUCACCGGCGAUUAUCUCCCAAACCAGAGCGAAUUAGGCGAUGGCGUAGUUGACAAACUUAGAGUACUAGGCGAGAUCUACAACUUUGUCAACUUGAGCAAAGGCCAGAUCGGCCUGGAUUGAAAGAUAUAGAGUUUCCAAAACCGAUCGAGCAAACUGCAAAGCACCCAGGACUUAGAAAAUUUUCUAAGUGUUGAAAACAGCCCCAAAUCUGCCUUGUGGACCACUUUUGAGCUAUUUGUGAUCAUUUUCAGGAGAUGGCCAUAAAACAACUUUUGUUCCUUAUAAAAUUUGCUACAACGUUGCUGUAGAAAGUUUUGACAUGCAAACAUUUUAUGAAACACUUUUUAAAAGCCUAAGCAAAAGAGGUUUCUAGGGCCUAUUUUCAUAAGUAUGACUUAGAAGCAUAUUUUGGAAAAGUGACCAACAUGAACAUUGUUCCCAAGAUCAAGUUAAACAUAGAUAAACUAAUUACCAAGACAUUAAGCACAAACACAAGCAUUGUUCACUCAAACAUAAGCAUAGGAAGCCUAUUUAAUCAAUUUAAACCACAUCUUUGCAAAGAAUGACAUGUCUCAAGAUAGAUGAUGAUCAUGGAUGCUUUGAAAAAUGAUGAUGCUCAUGCCAUGCACAUGCUUGAUGCAACCAUAACACUGGGGUGUUACAGUGGGGUCAGGUUUGUAAUAUAAAGUUUUCUUUCAGUUUAAGAAGUUGUACUUGUUUAUUUCUAGUGUGUUGAACUAAUGUUUGAUAAAUAAAUGGAAGUAUGUAAGAUAUGUUCUAAGUUAUGAAUUUCGUGUGGUAACAAGUACAUAUGACUCUUGUAGUAGAUGCCGAUGCGUACACGAGGAUCUGAUGGAGCCGGGACAUCUCAGGGAGGGGAUGAUAUCCCCAACCUCCACCUUCCCUGGCUGAUGCCAUUGCUGUUCUUUUGAGUGCCACUACUGACAACGCUCGUUUGUUGCGCGAGUUAGCACAACGUCAACCACACCCCGCCCCAAACUUCAGAGCACCGCACAAUGGGGACGGAGAAGCUCGGUACGUGGACUUUACCGAGACAAGGCCCCCGGUAUUCAGUAAGGCUGAUGAGCCGUUAGAAGCGGAUGACUGGCUCCAGACCAUGGAGCACAAGUUCAGUUUGAUUCAGUGUUCAGAAACUCAGAAGCCCCUGUUCGCAGCUCAGCAGCUUCGGGGAGCUGCAGGUGCCUGGUGGGAGAACUUCCUAGCUAUCUAAGCUCCGAGACACCAGGUCACCUGGACCGAGUUUAAGGACGCGUUUCGCGCCCAUUACAUCCCUGAAGGGCUCAUGGCCAUGAAGGCCGAAGAAUUUCUCGCCUUGCAGCAAGGCGAUAAAAGUGUCAUGGAGUAUGUGGUAAAAUUUAAUCAUCUUUCUCAAUAUGCUACAGACCACGUGAACACGGAUAGAAAGAAGAAAGCCUAUUUCAUGCGUGGUCUAAAUACCAAACUUCAGACCAUGAUGACCACCUGCCAAAAUGCUACCUUCUACGAGGCGGUAAAUAUUGCCAUCGCCUCAGAAGAAAAGAAUAGAAAGCACAAAGAAGCUAAGAAAAAGGCUGCUUCUUCCUCCUUCUCUGGUCGCGGUCAAAAGCGCUAGAGAAUCAUUUAUCAUCCACAAGGCCACGGACGCUUUCCAGCGCCGACACAUUAUCGUGGUCCUUUUUCCCCUCCACAAUAUAGACCAGGGCAGCAGGUAUAUCCUCGACCUACUGCCAUCGUCACUGCACCAUGCCAGCCAAACGCCCCAGGUGUUCGCCCCACUGCUCCGCCCAACCACAAUUACCCUUGUUUCAAUUGUGGUAAGCCUGGGCAUUUUUCCAAAGAGUGCCCCUAUCCCCGCCAAACCAACCCCACUUUCCAAAGGCCACCCAUGGGCCAACCCUAGUCGAGCCAAUUCAGGACUGGGGUUCAGAAAGGACAAAAUGUGCAAAAGGGAAAACCAGCGAAGAAAGUGGGACAAGUCUUCCAUACAGAGGUGGAGACGAUUCCGGAGGGUGAACCAGUAAUGAUGGGUACGUUUCCUGUCGCAAAACAUCCUGCUUUAAUGCUUUUCGAUUCUGGUGCAUCUCAUACAUUCAUCAAUCGCACCUUUGUGUUAAAGCAUGGCAUACCCAUUGGGGAAACACAAGAUCAUUUUUAUAUACAGUCGCCAGGAGGACGGCUGAGUUCUAAAGAAAUGGUUGACCAGAUACCCAUCGAAUUUGGUGGGCAUAAUUUUCCCACUAGCAUGAUUGUUCUUAAAGACCAGGAGAUUGAUGUCAUACUAGGCAUGAACUGGAUGGCACAACGAGGGGUUGUGGUAGAUACUUUGCCUCGAACCAUUAAAAUCCUAUUGCCCAAUGAGAAUUCUUACCUUCUAAUUCAAUUAGUUACUCCCAAACGGGCAAUUGGGCAGGUUCAUGCCGCUAAUGUGUCUGCAGUCAAAGAUAUCCCGGUAGUUCGAGAUUUUCCGGAUGUAUUUCCUGAAGACCUACCAGGUCUGCCACCGGACCGGGAUGUCCAGUUCAGUAUAGAAUUGAAACCAGGGACAGCCCCAAUAUCUCGAAGGGCCUACAGAAUGGCACCGAAAGAACUAGCCGAAUUAAAAACCCAACUACAAGAGCUGUUGCAGAAAGGUUUUAUUCAGCCCAGUUCUUCUCCAUGGGGUUGCCCAGCCUUAUUCGUGAAAAAGAAAGAUCAAACAUUAAGGCUGUGUGUCGAUUAUCGUCCCCUGAAUGAGGUGACGAUUAAAAAUAAGUACCCAUUGCCUCGUAUUGACUUACUAUUUGACCAGCUAGCCGGGGCCAAAGUGUUCCCAAAAAUUGAUUUGAGAUCAGGGUACCACCAAAUUAAAAUUAGGCCGGAGGAUGUACCCAAAACGGCGUUUACAACUCGUUAUGGCUGUAUGAAUACUUGGUGAUGUCCUUUGGGUUAACUAAUGCACCGGCCCAUUUCAUGUACUUGAUGAACUCUGUCUUCAUUCCAGAACUGGACAAAUUUGUGGUCGUCUUCAUUGAUGACAUUCUGAUCUAUUCCAAAACUAAGAAAGAACAUGCUGAACAUCUAAGAAUUGUGCUGACCCUCCUCAGGGAGCAUCAACUGUAUGCCAAGUUCAGCAAAUGUGAGUUCUGGCUGGACAAAGUUCAUUUCCUGGGUCAUGUAUUAUCAGCGGAGGGAUUCGCUGUAGACCCAGGCAAGGUAGAAGAUGUGUUGAAUUGGAAACCCCCGACUACGAUACAUGAGGUCCGUAGUUUUCUGGGUAUGGCGGGAUAUUACCGUCGCUUUAUCCCGGACUUUUCAAGAGUCGCCAAACCAAUCACGACCUUGCUCAAGAAUCAUACAAAAAUUGUUUGGUCAUCCCAAUGUGAGCAAGCCUUUCAGACUCUAAAAAGGUUAUUGACAACUGCACCUAUCUUAGCCCAGCCAGAUAUUGAAAAGCCCCUUGAUGUGUAUUGUGACGCAUCAGGGAUAGGGAUAGGCUGUGUGCUAAUGCAGGAGGGUCGAGUAAUUGCAUAUGCUUCCAGAUAGCUUAAACCCCAUGAAGAGAAUUACCCGACCCAUGAUCUUGAAUUGGCCGCCGUAGUACAUGCAUUAAAGAUCUGGCGCCAUUAUCUGUUGGGGAAUACCUGUCAUCUAUACACCGAUCACAAAAGCUUGAAGUACAUCUUUACUCAAGCUGAGCUUAAUAUGCGCCAACGAAGGUGGCUAGAACUAAUCAAAGAUUACGACCUUGAGGUGCACUAUCACCCAGGCAAGGCAAAUGUAGUAGCUGAUGCCCUUAGUCGUAAGGCUCACUGUAAUUGUUUAACAGUGACGCCUAAAGACUUAACUUUGUGCCAAGAGCUAGAGAACCUGGGAAUAGAAAUGAUUUCCCAAGGAAGCCUUGCCAACCUAAAGAUUGAUUUCAAUCUUGAAGCUCAAAUCAUAGAGGCACAAAAGGAAGACAAAGGCAUGAAAUAUCUUAAAGAGGAAAUUUCUAAUAGAGCACCCACAGACUUUAAGGUGGAUGGUGCAGGAGUAAUCUGGUUCAAGAACCAGUUAGUGGUUCCAAUGGUACCCGAGCUACGUCAACAAAUCCUGGAUGAAGCUCAUACCACGAGGUAUUCUAUUCAUCUAGGAAGCAAUAAGAUGUAUCAGGACCUAAAACAAAGGUUUUGGUGGACAAAAAUGAAGAUAGAAAUAGCUCGCUAUGUGGCCCAUUGCGAUACCUGCCGAAAGGUCAAAGCUAUUCAUCUCAAAUCCGCGGGAGAGUUGCAACCUUUGCCUAUUCUAGCGUGGAAAUGGGAUGACAUAAGUAUGGAUUUCAUAGUAGGAUUGCCCAAGAUGGCCAAAGGCUUUGAUUCAAUUUGGGUCAUAGUGGAUCGUCUCACCAAAACCGCACAGUUCUUGCCUGUAAAGAUAUUAUAUCCUACCUCCACCUAUGCUAAGAUUUAUUUUGAUCGUAUCCUAAGUCUGCAUGGGGUACCAAAGACAAAAGUGUCAGAUAGAGGCACACAAUUUGUCUCCCAAUUCUGGAAAUGUUUACACGAGUCUUUGGGCACCAAACUUUUAUACAGCACAGCCUACCACCCCCAAAUAGGUGGGCAAACAGAGAGGGUAAAUCAGACCCUAGAAGAUCUAUUAAUAUCUUGUGCCCUGAAUUUUCCAGAUAAGUGGGAUGACUGCUUGCCUCUAGCAGAGUUUUCUUACAACAAUAGCUACCAAGAGAGCAUCAAGAUGGCUCCCUUUGAGGCACUAUAUGGCCGUCGAUGUCGAACUCCGUUACACUGGUCGGAACCCAGAGAAAGAUGGUUCUUCGGGGUUGACUUAGUGAAAGAGACUGAGAACAAAGUUAGACAAAUCCAAAAUAACUUGAAAGUUGCUCAGUCCCGACAGAAAAGCUAUGCCGAUAAAAGACGUCAACCAUUAAGGUUCGCUAAAGGUGAUCAUGUGUAUCUAAAAGUAUCUCCAAUGAAAGGAGUAAAUCGUUUUGGUGUUAAAGGCAAGUUAGCACCCUGUUACAUUGGUCCAUUUCCAAUCAUUGACCGAUGUGGGCAGGUAGCUUACCGCCUUAAACUGCCCGAACGAUUAUCCGGGAUACACAAUGUAUUUCAUGUGUCUCAAUUGAAAAAGUGUCUUCGAGUACCAGACCAAGUUCAAGAUAUUGAAGAUGUGGAACUUGAACCGGAUCUAACUUAUUCGUAGUAUCCUAUCUGAGUAUUGGACAAAAGAGAUAGAGUUACUCGAAGAACAACUACCAAGUGGUACAAGGUACAGUGGAACCAACACUCUUAAGAGGCAGCCACAUGGGAAUCUGAAGAUUACCUAAUAGAGAAUUUUCCUGAGUUUCACGCUUCUCUUCAAGGCAACAUUUGAUAAAAUAGGGAGUGUACUCUAGUGAAGGAAAAGAGUAGUCAAAGUCAUGUACCUAGUGUACAUAUAUGUUUAUGAUUGAAUAGUCUUCCCAGCUUCUUGUCUUAUGAAAAGGUUGAAGAUGAAAUAGGUUGACAAAUUUCCUUUUCCAUUACGUACCCUAAGACUUUAAAUCUCGGGGACGAGAUUUCUUUAAGGGGGAAGGGCUGUAACAUCCCCAAUGUUACGGUUACUAAAAAUUUGAAGCAUGACAUCAUCAGCAUUGCACAGCAUAUUUGUUGAGCACACCCUGAUGCAUUAACUUAAAACAAGUUUAAUUUGGUUGAAUGUGCUUAGGGAACUAAAGUGUGUACCCACCUUAUGGAUCUGAGAUGACCGGGAAACAUCUAGAUCGGCUGUAGGAUGGUGGAGUACUAUGCUCUCAGGUGCCGCGAACCUGGUCAAAUUUGGGGAGAACUUGAUUUGGGUUGACAUAUGCAAGAUUUGGUUCUACAUAUGUCGGGUGGUUAGGAACUCCAGCUGGAUUGCUAAGCGAUUCGAAUGGUCGUUGCUCCCCGAUUGGGAGACUCAAUUCCUUUGACCCUCAUCGUAGAUAAUUAUGCAACUAAGUGAUAAAACGAGAAAGGGAAAAUGUCUCAUGAGGUUCGGAUCCCAAUUCCCGAACUCAGAGUGACAUGAAGCUAUGGCCGUUGGAUGUAUAAUACUUUAAUUUAGGACUAGGAACUCACAGACUUGUCUGUGGGAGGCAACUAGAUAGACUGUCUUCGAACUCCUCAGCCUCUUCAGGAGAGGAAUUUGCGGGUAAAACUUGAAAGUAAGGGUGCACUAUUAGUAAGCUUUUUGGCAAAACACUUUGGCUCCUUGCUCAGCCACUCCUUGUCUACCCUAAGCCUGCAUUCCUAAUUUCUCCUCUUUUUCUACCAGGUAAGUCUUGUUGAGUACUCCCGUACUCAGGGUUUCAUAACCCCUGUUGCAGGUGAAGCUCAGGAGCCGACUUGUUUCGGACCCUAUUGUGUGACCGUCGUCGAGGUUGACGACGAAGAAGAGUGAGCGUGACCCAUGGGCAGGGUCUGUAAAUUUGUAAUCUGUGUACUAAAGUUUAAGUUGCUCCGCUGGACCUGGUUUGUAAUAACACUCUGCUAUUUGGAAAACUCCUUUUGUAAAAUAAGUUAUGUCAUACUUCCGCUGUUUUACUCUGAAAUAUUAUUUUGGUCUUGUGUCGUCUGUGAUACUGCAAUGUCUUCGCAACGAAUGAUACUGGUGUUAAGGUGGCCACUUGCUAUCAUGUAAGGGUGAGGAGAAGAAAUUUUCGUUAAUUGACCAUCGCUGGUGGUCAGGACGAGCCUGUUUGAUACGCCCCAGGUAGCGGUGGAAUGAGCGUCCUGAGAUGCUCAUCGGACUUCUAAAGUGGAAGGAUCCCCGGCAUCACCGUCAGAGGUCUUUGGGACAAUGACAGGUGUCGGUGGGCCCAAACACAUAGGGGGUUCUGCCACAAUGGUACUUCCGGAGUAGAAGUAGCAUAUAUGAGUGAACGUGCAAGUGAAAUCUUGAUUUAACCACAUGACAAGCUCCUAAGAGUCUACACAGCUUGACCACACUCAAUGCUCAUAAGCAGUAAAUAGUAAAUGUGUGGCUCAAAGUCUAGCAAGUAUGUAUAUAUGGCUGUGGUAGCAAUUUAAACUCUCAUCAUACAGGAACUCAUCAUGUAAUAUUUUAAAAAUUUUCAAAGAUAAAAUUCUCUAGAAUUCUAGCAUCUCUAGGAACAGAUAAAUAGCAGCUCAACCUUCCCAUAUCAUAUCCGUUAACAACUUAGACUUUAGAUCAAGUUUUCAUCCCACAAGUUUAGGUCUAGAGCAAGCUUUAAAUUAUAACAGUUAUGUCUAAACUUGAGAGAGAACUUAAAAUGUGCAAAUUAGCCAGAGCAACUAUUCAUCAUAUCCAUGCUUGAGUUUUAUUUAGAUACAGAUUAGCAUAGCCACUUUAUUUAUUUAGUAAACACACUAAGCAAAAGAUAUAUAUAAGCACAAGAUCUUUAUUUGGUUUUCCAUAGUUAUGUAUAUUUUAUAAUAUAGUAUAAAUAUAGAUAGAAAUACUUAUCGGGAUAAAUGGGGGUGCUCUCCCCCAAGCUGAAUUUUGACGUAAUUUCUCUUGAUGUAGCUAGCAGGUGGCAGAGGUGUAUUUGAAAGUCAGCAGCAUUCUGACAGCGAUUAGAAUGUCCUCCGUCUGCUAGUCUCUUGAUUCUUAAAUUCUGUGGAGCUCAAAUAGACAACAAAGCUUGUGGAACUGAUUAAGUGUUAGCAUAAAUCUCUAGCCUUUAUCAUGUUAAGUCUCCUUAAUAAUUAUUACUCCCUGUUUUUAUAUUUUCAUUUUUAUAAAGCAGAAAAGAAAUAUUUAUUUUAUUUUUAUGCCACCACAGUGAAUGUACUUAUGGGUUUUAUGCCACUCGUAUACUCACAUGGGGCUUACUGUUUUUCACAUUUUUAUUUUCUUUUUAAGAUAGUAAGAACAUAAGUAACUAAGCAAACUAUUUUAAAUAAUUGAAAGGGAAAGGAUAACUACCAAGUUUACCUCUUGGCAAGGCGUUCGGUGUUUUUAAGUCCUCCGAACGAGACUCUCCAUUUUCUCAAUUGUCCUGGGAUUCGUUGGGUGGCGGAGUCGGUACUUCCGGCAGCGCCUCCCCUUCAUGUAUAGUUAUCUUCUCUUUCCAUACCUGACUCGGUGCUUCGGUCUCCUCUGGAUAAUUCUGUUUAAACUCUACGUCUUCUGACCUUAUCACUUCUCCUUCAUAGUCUGCCCAUCCGUCCUUGAUGAUCUGCCUCCUCUAGUUGCGGUUGCAUCGUUUUCUUACCUACUUAGAUUCUUCAACGAUGUAGUUAGGGUCAGUAAAAUAACGGCGUAACUUCUCUGAGGGGAAGUGCAUAUGGACUUCUCCGGUUCCAAUGUAGAUGAUUGCUUUAACGUUGCUGAGGAACGGUCUUCCAAGGAUGAUGGGUGGAUCGUACUCGUCUUCUCCCAUGUCAAUAACUUGAAAGUCUGUGUAGACAAAAUGAUCGUCUAUUUUGACUGGGACAUCAAUUACUGUUCCAUUAACCUCUCGAAAUGUCUAGUCUGCCAUCUGAAGCUGAAUAUAUGUUGGUCUUAGGGGCAUGGUUCCGAACAAGAGUCGAUAGGUGACUGCGGCCAUUAUGUUGACGCCCGAUCCGGUGUCGCAAGUCGUCUUGUAGAAGUUGUAUCCAUUUAUGGAGCAGUAGAUGCUUGGCAUUCCUGGGUUGUCUUUCUUGGUCAAAAAUGGUGACUUAAGUUGGUGAUCUUGACCGCCAUAAACUACAGUGACCAUCUUAGCUUACUCGGUCCACACUUGCUUGUUCCUGUUCCUCCUGUUGGUCCUCUUCCUUGAUUCACGUCUGGAUUGAUCUAGGAUUUGUGUAGUCUUGUUCUUGAAGAAAAAUGUCUCCUUCCUCCCUUUGAUGUAGAAACUGAUCUUGGCAGCACUGGCGUAGAUGAUGGCUCCCGCGGUGUUUAAGAAUGGCCUCCCUAAGAUGAUGGGUGCUCUCUCAUCUUUACCGGUCUCUACCACUACGAAGUCUGCUGGGGCAUACAAGGUACCAACUCGGACACAAAGGUUCUUCAAUAUUCCUUUUGGAAAACUUAUUGCCUGAUCUACAAACUGCAAACACAUGGUUGUCUCUAAUAAAGGAUAUGUAAAGAAUUUUUCAUAGAGUACCCUAGGUAUAAUGUUGACGCUGGAGCCAAAGUCACAGAGUGCUUCUGGAACGUCCAACAUGCCGAUGGAGAUCGAGAUGACGGGGCGUCCUGGAUUACCUCUCUUGACCGGCAGAAGGUCAGUAGUGAAUUCAGUGAUGGGAUUACUCCAAUUAUUACCUGCAUCAAACAUGUCUACAAGAUUUGCAGAUUCUAAUCCUUCCGGUUGUGAUGGUAUACCGGGGUUAGUAGCAGGAACUGCAACAGCUAUUUGAUUUAACUGAGAUUCAAUCAUUUUAUUAAAGCUAAUUUGAUUCUUGAUGGCAGUAGAGAAAUUAUCCAUUCUAUUAUUUAUAUUUUCUAGCAUUGUAUCAUUAGAUGCCAAUUUCUUAGAUAGGUUAUCCAUUAGCUUUCCUUGAUUAGACACUAACUCUCUCAGAGGUGGAAAAUUAUUAUUAUUGUUGUAAGAAUUGUUACCUUGAUGAUUACCUGAGUAGUUAGGCCUCUGUUGAUUCCAACCUUGAUUUUGUUGAGGACGGUUGUAGUUGUUAUUGUUGAUGUAGUUCACAUCCUCAAGCAUCUCAGGGCAAUGAUUGCCUGAGUGUCCAGUAUCUCCACACUCCUCACAUGUCAUGUGAGAGUCGUAGAUGUGCAUAACUUCCUUCUUAUCUCCAGCUCUAUCAUCGAGCUCCUUCAUGAGCAGGUCUAGCUUUGCAGACAACAUGUCUACCUCCUUGAGCUGAUGCAUACCUCCACCUUUCUUGCGUGUCUGGGUCCUCUCUUUAUUCCAGCCUUGGUUGGACGCCAUCUUCUCCACAAGAGCUGUGGCUUGUGAUAUGGUAAGUGAUAAGAAUGCUCCUCCAGCUGCAGCAUCCAUGGUUUCUCGGGCACUGUUGCUGAGCCCAUGAUAAAACGUCUGCAUCAAUAGCCAACUCUCCAUUCCAUGAUGGGGACAUUCUAGGAUGUAGUCUUGAAAGCGCUCCCAUGCUUCUGGAACAGAUUCAUCAUUUUGUUGCUAAAAACUUGUAAUUUUCCCAUGGAGAGCAUUAGUCUUGCCCAUGGGAAAGAACUUAGCCAGGAAGUUUGUUGAGCAGAGUGCCCACAUAGUAUUCUUCUCCUUUGUAGCGUAGAACCACUGCUUCGCUCUUCCUAACUUUGAGAAUGGGAAGAGGCGAAGUAGUAUAGCAUCUCUGGGGACUCCUGAUAUGGUGAAUGUGUUGCAAAUCUCCAGGAAGUGUUGUAGAUGAGCACUAGCAUCUUCGUGUGCCUUCCCACAGAACUGGUUGGAUUGCACCAUGUUGAUAAGUCCAGGCUUGAGCUCAAAGUUGCCAUCGAUCUCUGCAGCAGGUCCAGUGCGGAUGUUGUCCGUAGUGGGAGCUGAGAACUCACGGAUUGAUUUGUUCGCCAUGGCCUCGAACUCUGAAGACAAGUUCCGGUGAUCUUAUUGAUUGGGUGAAGCUUCUUGCUGAAGUGUUGAUGAUCUCUUCUUGAGCUUGGCUCUAGUCUUCUUGAAUAAUGGUUCAGGAUUGUCAACAAAAUUUCCUGGAAGAUGUCUUCUAUUCAUACAUUCCCCUGCAUCAGAUAAAAUAGAAAAAUAUCGGGGUAAAACUAUAUGAGAGAAUAGAUAAGCUCAAUCAUAUUAGUGAUGCGAAUGAUAACUCAAAAUCCUUUAUUCCAUUCCUGAUUAGUAAUCAACCUUCCCCGGCAACGGCGCCAAAAAUGCUUGUUGGGUAUUCUUAACAUCAUUACCGAAAGUAGACUAAGUUCUCUAAAUCUAGUAACGGUGCCAAAAAUGCCAAACCUAUCCCUCACACCACUUAGGCCAAGUUGUCAUCCCCAGCAUGACAUGAGAGACGCGGUAUUGAAAUAUGCAAUUGCUCUUCUAAAUAAAUAAUGAAUGGGAUCUGCAAGCGCACAGAUUAAUACCGAUGUAGCAUUUUAACCGGGAAGUAUUCCAGGUAUCGAGAGGUUAAAGGUAUAGUAACUGAUGUCCCUAUCAAAAUAGACGAUCAUUUUGUCUACACAGAUUUUCAGGUUAUUGACAUGGGAGAAGACGAAUACGAUCCACCCGUCAUCCUUGGAAGACCGUUCCUCAGCAUCGUUAAAGCAAUCAUCUAUAUUGGAGCUGGAGAAGUCCACAUGCACUUCCCCUCAGAGAAGGUACGCCACUAUUUUACUGACCCUAACUAUAUCGUUGAAGACUCUAAGAAGGUCAAGGCAGAAAAAAGACGACGCAACCGCAACCAGAAGAGGCAAAUCAUCAAGGAUGGAUGGGCAGACUAUGAAGGAGAAGUGAUAAGGUCUGAAGACAUACAGUUUAAACAGAAUUAUCCAGAGGAGACUGUAGCACCAAGUCAGAUAUGGAAAGAGAAGAUAACUAUACAUGAAGAGGAGGCACUGCCGGAAGUACCGACUCCGCCACCCAACGAAUCCCACGACGACUGAGAAAACGGAGAGUCCCGUUCGGAGGACUUAAAAACACUGAACGCCUUGCCAAGAGGUAAACUUGGUAGUUAUCCUUUUCUUUUCAAUUAUUUCAAUUAGUUUGCUUAGUUAAUCAUGUUCAUACUAUUCUAAAAAGAAAAUAAAAAUGUGAAAAACAGUAAGCCCCAUGUGAGUAUACGAGUGGCAUAAACUCCAUAAGUACAUUCACUGUGGUGGCAUAAAAAUAAAAUAAAUAUUUUUUCUGCUUUAUAAAAUGAAAAUAUAAAAAUAGGGAGUAAUAUUUAUUAAAGAGUCUCAAUAUGAUAAAGGCUAGAUAUUUAUGCUAACAUCUAAUCAGUUCCACAAAGCUUUGUUGUCUAUAUGAGCUACACAGAAUUUAAGAAUCCGGAAGACUAGGAGACGGAGGACAUUCUAAUUGCUAUCUGAAUAUUGCCGACUUUCAAAUACACGUCUGCCACCUACUAGCUAUAUCAGAAGAAAUUACAUCAAAAUUCAGCUUGGGGGAGAGCACCCCUAUUUUUCCCGAUAAGUAUUUCUAUCGAUCUUUAUACUACUAUUAUAUUAAAAUAUAUAACUAUAAAAAACCAAAUAAAUAUUUUAUAUAUAUCUUUUGCUUAGUGUGUUUAAUAAAUGAAUAAAGUGGCUGCUAAACUGAAUCUUAAUAAUAAAACUGUAACAUGGAUAUGAUGAAUAGUUGCUCUGCCUAAUUUUCAAAUUUGAGUUUUCUCUCUAGCUUAGACAUAACUGUUAUAAUUUAAAGCUUGCUCUAAACCUAAACUUGUGGGAAGAAAACUUGAUCUGAAGUCUAAAUUGUUAACGGAUAUGAUAUGGGAAGGUUGAGCUGCUGUUUAUCUGUUCCUAGAGAUGCUAGAAUUCUAGAUAAUUUUAUCUUUUAAAAUCUUUAAAAUAUUACAUGAUGAGUUCCUAUACGAUGAGAGUUUAAAUUCCUACCACAGCCAUAUAUACAUGCUUGCUAGACUUUGAGCCACACAUUUACUUUUCACUGCUUAUAAGCAUUGAGUCUGGUCAAGCUGUGUAGACCCUUAGGAGCUUGUCAUGUGGUUAAAAUCAAGAUUCACUUGCACGUUCACUCACACAUGCUACUUCUACUCCGGAAGUACGCAUCCACAUAUAUCCACCCAUUUCCGUCUCCAGAAAUGACCCAAAAACAUUAUACUCCUAAUCCGGGAGAGAAUGGCCAAAAACAUUCGUGUUUUCCCUGUGAAAUAAGUGCUCAAGUUAUCUUGGUUACUACCACUUGCUAUAUUAUUUCAGGAGAUGAGUGCUCUUAAAAAAAAGAGAAAAAAAUACGAGGAAAUAAAAAGGGGCAAGUGCCCAGAACCUCGAAGAAAAGAAAAAGUGAGACGAGAGGUAAAAAUGGACAAGUGUCCGAUAAUAGAAUUAGGGGUACAAGAUACCCACCUGAGAAAAAAAAGAGAAGAAAAUACAGAGCAUCUCAUUCUCCUCAAAAGUUUUAAAAAAGCAAGAAAGGUAUGUAUCCCCUCAAAAGAGCCAAUGUAGAUUUAGACUUUCACCAUUGUUAUCAUCACCAUACACCUUUCAUUCGCCACACAUGCACAUCUUGAUUUGACUUAUUGGCUUGUUUCAUUGGAUCCAUAGUUUGACUAUACAAUAAAUGUCUUGUAAGUAUGUAUAUUUUAUCUCCCACCUAUGAGCUCCAGAUAUUAAAGCCUUAUUAGAGUAGGGUGAGAGAGAAGGCAAUAUCACUAUGCCUUAUACCACAAAUACCACAUAUCUUGAGAGAAGGCAUAUACCAUCACUGCCUUGGUAAGGAUCCAGAAAUACCACAAAAGUGAGAUCUAAGAGAGUUAUACAAGGAAUCUAUAAGUUUUAUUUGAAAAUCUACAAAAACUCCAGAGCUAUAGCUGAUCAAGAAUAAGAGACAUUGCACUUGACUAGACUGUUCUAUCUUUUAACUACUCAAGACAGAUGUGACGGUUACAAGUCCCAUGGUGAAAGGUAAAAUAAGUAAGUCUUGACAGUUUACUCUAACUUAGAGAUGACACCUAAUUUAAAAGCAUGUGUACCGUCAAUUUUUAAACAUAUUGCAACUUAUGAUCCAUCACUGAGUCUAUCCUUGCUCAGGGAUGAGCAAGAGGUAAGCUUGAGGGAGUUUGUUGACGGUCCUUAAGUAUCAAAUUUAAUUAUCAAAUAAACAAAGAAAAGGAUCCAAAUGAAAUCAACAUCCAAACUUAGGGUUUUAUCUGACAGAAUUCCAUGAGUUUUGGUGUUUGUCUAUUUCUGCAGGGGGUUAUCACGAAAUACGGAAGAAAGGCCCACACGUCGGGAUUCAUAGAGAUAUCAACGUGCCGCGCAAUUAUCUUACAUCUAGAAGACUCCAGAAGCCACGGGAAGGAAGCGGAGCCCGAACGGGGCCAGGCACUGGGCGCCCGCCCAGGAGACCAGGGCACCCGCCCCCCUUCAGAGUCCAAUCAGAACUCUCUUUUGGGAUUAAGCUCCACCGACUUAAAGGAUCAAGGAUAACCGUUCAAUCAAUGUCGGUUUGAUCCGACGGCCCAUAUUCACUUGGAGGGACUAUAAAACCAGUCCCCCUAGCCCCUGGAGGAGAGAGCCUCUCAACCCUAAUUCGUUAUUCCUCAAGGGAGAAGAAGCCUCUGAUCAAGCCUAGAGCCACCACAUCAAUUAGACAUCUAGAUUAGCAUAGCUACAUAGGAUUCGAACUAGAAGGAGUCAAUCUUCUAUUGGUUUCCGGAUCUGUCGAGAGGAUUCUUGGUAAUUCUCUAUUGUUCUUCUAAUUGUUCAUCUUUGUUCUUCAAUAUUAUGAAUAUGACUUUGUUCUACUUCAAUAUAUUGCUUAUGACUUUGCUCUACUUGUUUAUAUUCAAGAUUAUAUUGUUCCUAUUUUAUCAUGGUUAUAUACUUCGCUUAGUUAGAUUGGAAUUAUAUAUAUGUUUAGGAUCGUAUAGUGUUUAUCCAUCGGAUCCACGGGUAAAUGAUAGAUAUUGUGUAGGCGUGGUGCUUAUACCGUAUUUAUCUGCGAUUGUACCCAAUAUGCCAGAUCGCGGGGUAGUUCUUGAUAGUGACAGCUUCAUUGAUUCUUAUAUAGUCCCCCUCUCGUGUAUUAGGCUGGCAAAGCAACAUUAUUACAGGGGAGUGAUUGUGAUGUUUCUCAUAUUCCUUGCUAAUAUCACUAUGCAUGGGCGUAAUCUUGUCUUAUAAUGAUUGCUAAGUAUGCUUGCACUAACUACGUUAAUGAUAGACUAUAUAGUUGAGAAUAACUUAAGAAAUAUUCUUUUAAUUCGUUCUAAUACCAUGCUAAUGACUUGCUAGAAUAUGUAAUUGAGGUGCUUAUCAUAUUUAAAAUGUGGCUAAGUUAUGCUAAUCAGAUUAAUUAUCUUUGUCACUAUUCAUUACUUUAUAUAUCCUUUAUGUGACACUUAUCCCUGUAUGAAAGAGUUAGAUAAAUGUUCUCAAUUAUACAUGCAAUGAUAGAUACUCAAUCUUAUAUUCCAUUCUAUAAUCAACAUUGAUGAUUACUAAUCCCUUCCUAGUGGUAAAAAUAUAAAUAACGAUACCUGGAAUACUUCCCGGUUAAAAUGCUACAUCGGUAUUAAUCUGUGCGCUUGUAGAUCCCAUUCAUUAUUUAUUUAGAUGAGCAAUUGCAUAUUUCAAUACUGCAUCUCUCAUGUCAUGCUUGGGAUGACAACUUGGCUUAAGUGGUAUGAGGGAUAGGUUUGGCAUUUUUGGCGCCGUUAUCAGAAUUAGAGAACUAAGUCUACUUUUGGUAAUGACGUUAAGAAUACCCAACAGUGAUAACAAUGGUGAAAGUCUAAUUCUACUUUUGCUCUUUUGAGGAGAUACAUACCUUUCUUGUACUUCAAGCUUUUUGAGGGGAAUGAGAUGCUCUAUAUUUUCUUUUUCUUUUCUCUCAGGUGGGUAUCUUGUACCCCUAAUUGUACUGUCGGACACUUGUCCAUUUUUACCUCUCGUCUCACUUUUUCUUUUCUUCGAGGUUCCGGACACUUGCCCCUUUUUAUUUCCUUGUAUUUUUUUCCAGAGCACUCACCCUCCUAGAAUAAUGUAGCAAGUGGUAGUAACCAAAAUAUCUCGAGCAUUUAUUUCACGGGGAAUAAUAGGGAUAGGAUAAUGUUUAUGGCUAUUCUCUCCCGAAUAGGAGUAGAAUCAUUUUAGGUGAAUCUGGAGAUGGAAAUGAGUGGAUGUAUGUGGAUGCGUACUUCCAGAGUAGAAGUAGCAUGUAUGCGUGAACGUGCAAGUGAAUCUUGAUUUUAACCGCAUGACAAGUUCCUAAGGGUCUACAUAACUUGACCACACUCAAUGCUCAUAAGUAGUAAAAAGUAAAUGUACGGUUCAUAGUCUAAUAAGCAUGUAUAUGUGGCUGUGGUAGGAUUUUAAACUCUCAUCAUACAGGAACUCAUCAUGCAACAUUUUAAAGAUUUUAAAAGAUAAAAUUCUCCAGAAUUCUAGCAUCUCUAGGAAC